rnacentral:lncRNA from 1 species
AGGAUUAGGCCGAUGGAAACACCUGGCCACCAAAACCAAACAUGGCACCAUGGUCGUUAUCUUAUGGCAUACAGAAAAAGGUCAACAAUUUGUUAUCUUUUCUACCCGCAAAUCAUUUACCAGCAUUGAGACCUCUGAUCUAGCAGAAUGCUAGACGAAAUGAAUAUUAAUUGCCGGCAGAAUGAACAUGUGCUACUGGUGGUCCUUGAUUGUAACUCCACGAAACUUAAAGACAAUAUUAUGGUGCUUCAGUCAUUUGAUAGUAAUAUUCCUAAAAAUUGGUUGGAGAUGUUCUAGCAAAUUCCAUUUUAGCAUCGUCGGAAGCUCAUUUGGAGGCAGUGGUGUGCUCCUUCUUACAAAUCAUGCACAGUUCAUCCUUCAGAAAUUGACCUAUACCCAUUAUUAACAGCAUGUCAUCAUCCAUGAUUCAAAUUAAAGAUCCUCAAGAACCAGGAUACAAGCUAUCAAAAGUUCUUUCUAAAUUUCCUGAAAGAAAAUGGUCCUUCUGCACAUGGUACAAUGUAGACAGAAAAUAUAGUUUUGCUGAAAAUUUGAACUGUAAGCACAUGUAGAUAUGGGAUCAGGUUUCAAUAAGUAAAAACAGAACUACUUACCCUGUUCAGACCAUGAUGGUGAAGAAUGAUGUUCACAUACAUCUAUUAAACUGAAAAUUUUCACUCCUAUACUCCACCCUCAGUAGCAUUAAGAUUCCAUCAUCAUUUCUUAAAUUUCCAAGGAAGCAUUUAAAAAGUGAAGUCCAAUGAUAAAGUCUCAAUGAUCAGGUUUCUUUAAAUUCUCAAAGAAGCAUUCAUUCAUGACUAAAAAUUAUAGAAGUAUUGUGAUCAUUCUUAAAUAUUCCAUAGAGUAAAUCAUGGCUUCCUCCAGAAAGACACCAAAAUUUACAGCAUGCAUAAUUGGCAUAUAACAUUUCCGACCAGAACUAUUCUGGGAAUGCUACAAAUUCAAACACUUCCUAUUAGACAGAAAUUACUGGAGGAAAUCAUUGAAAUUUGUCAACAAGGGCCGGGCAACAAAAGUUAUUACAUUUGUUGGACCGUCUAGUGCAAAUUUUGUGAAGCUACACGAAUCUCCUGGACCGGAUACCUGACAGAAUCCGGAUCUAAAUUCAACAUUAGGAAUUGGGCAACAAAACUCAAACGACAGAAGUUAGGAACUGGACAAAGUUUCCAAUGCACGUUUGAGAUCAGAAAAAUUGUGGGAAACCGAAUUGCCAUGGAAUUUUGGAUGGAAAUUUAUCAAGAACACAUGAUGAAUUAGGCAUAAGAAUUAGGAAGAACAUAUCAGAUGAAUAGUAAUAUGAACCAUUUGAAAAUCUCGUCCAUCAAUCACACGAACAAAUCUCACGAAGAACAGACUACAAAAUCUCGUAGAUUAAUGGCUUGCCCAUAUCUCCAACUUCACAAGAUUCCAAGGCAGGCAGCAGCUCAGGAGCAAAGGAUCUAGUGCCUGGCUUGAUGCAUGAAUCGAUGGAAGAAAUCUAGUGUUGGGUGGACACAGUGCUGCGUGAGCUGCUAGGAACCCACGGGGCCAGGAGCUGACCAGUCGAGCGCGGGGGUCAAGUUGGUGCGCGUUUUGGGGCUGCAGAGGAGGCAGGCGGCCUCGUCGUCUGGAUCGCCGCAACCCAUCGCCCAGACGAACCAGAUCUUGAAGAUGGCGGACGGCAACCUGCUGCGGCGGCACUGGAGGAAGCCGAAGACGACGACACCGAGCCGCGAGGGUCAUGCAUGCUGACGACCCGCUGGAUCUGUGUCCGCCGCGCACAACUAACCCGCUGAGGAGGCGCCCUACGGCCUGCUGAGGACCAGUAGGCACGAAGGCGGAUGGCAGCGGAUCGUAUGCGGGGUCGCAGGUGGAGGCUCGCGGGCGAGGCAAGCUAAGGCGCGGCAGAGGAGGGCCGCGGGGGGAGGCGGCGGCUGCGGCCUCAGUGGAAGGGAAGGAAGAUGGGGGUGGGCGUGCGAGUCAGGGCAGAGGUAGGAGGCGGCGGAGAAUAGAAAGUGAAAAACGGUUCGGGAGGCUGAAAGAUUCUCUUGCGGGGUGGAAUUUCAGCCUCAAUAGGUAAUCACUAAGCGCACACGGUUAGCAAGUAAUUCGUGGUUAGUGAGUCUGAUUGCGGGGCUAUUAGUACUCCGUAUACGUUUAGUGGGCGUUGGGAUGAAUAUGUUGGUGUCUUUAUAAGUAGUAGAGAUGAUGCAUUUCGUAGGCAAACGGAUGAAGUCUAUCAUGGACUAACCCAGUACUGAGUACGUUAGUGUUCCAGCUUACAACAGAAGAUGUUCAAAAAGGUUUUUCGUUGGUGCUCAUUACUUCUACGUUGUGGUAGUUAAUUGUUCGUAAUGUUCUGACAUACGUGUGUUCUGCUGACGUUGUGACACAGGCACGGUAUUGGAAUCAGAGCCGCACCGGAAAGAUCCACUUGCACGCCUUAAACAGAGGCUGUCGUUUGACGGCAAAGGUAUAGGUUGACACAUGAUGCAGCAUAUUCCGGAUUGUGUCGAUUGAAAUCUGAUGGACAUAACCAUUGUUCUUAUGUAAUCAUUUUUGUUAUGCAGAUAAAUGUCAUGGGCCGUCUGUCAACUUGGCAGAUCAUAAGGUUGUAGUGGACUCUGCCAGCAACGGCAAUCAAGCGGUGGACUUUGAACUCUUCAACUUGUCCCCUUUAGGAACCGCUGAAGUUCCAAGUAUCAACGAAAUAAUAGACGUGGAACAGAUAGAGGACGACAGCAGGGACAUGCAUGUUAUGAACAGCGCACAGAACCGGUGAUAACAAACCCGCCAAAAAGCGUCCAUUUAGUGGGCGAGGCCGUCGAAGGUACGUGUCAGACUAUAAGAGACAUAACAGCAUAGGACGUAAUCUGACACCACGCAUUUUUGUUUUGCAUUAUAUGUUUUGGCUAAUUAUAACUAUCGGACCAAUGAACGGCAGUACCUAAUGUUGAUCCACCGACAAUAUAUACUAUGGUGUCCAUGGCAGCACAAGGACGGGUCCAUCUCGAGGCAUAUCUUCCACAAGCUGACCUGGAAGCGUUCUUUCGUCAGCAACAGUUGAAUGAACUUCAGUCCCAAGGCAAGACCUAUAAAUCACAGCACACAACGCGUAAAUGAACAUAAGCUAAAAAACAGUUUAACUCUAAGCUCCUAUUUUCAUCUCACGUUGUUCUGAAUGACAGCAUCGAGAGUAAUGGAGCACAGUGAAGGGCAAGGGAAUGCAAAUAUGGUCGCCCAGGCAAUUCAAAACAAUAUGGAGUUCCACAUAAACUCAUCUGUCCCCAUAAAUACCAUUAGCCUCAAGACACUAUGCCCAAAGCUAGCUACAAAGAAGUUCUUUAAUGCGCUGAGGAGUGACGAAAAUCCAAUUUCUCUGUCCAGGUAUGCGUGCGAAACAAAACAACUUUUGUUUGUUCUUUGGUUGACUAUGAACCGUGACAGUAACCAAAAUAGUUGUACAAUAUUGUAGUACAUUCGUGGCUAUUGAUAAACCCGAGAUUGCCAUACUCCCUGGUAUCCGGAUGAAGCUGGAAAUGACCAAGAUGGCAGAGCUUAGCAAGGAAACCUUCUCAUUAAUAGCCAGGUUGUACAAUGAGAUUGAAGGGACCUCCACAUACCGAGAGGAGAAUCCGAGCUGGAAAGGAACAUACUACUUCCCUCCAACAUUUGCGUUUAGUUAUGUAUAAACCAUCCAACAUAUUAACUAGUAUUUUAAAUUUAUAUAAGGGAAUACUUAUUGGCUUUUCGAAAGAAAACAUAAUGGUGCUGUAAUGACUGAUAUGAAGUGAUAACACAACCAACAAACCUGCUGACAGAUGUACUGCCUUGUAGGAAAUCAUAAUGGAAGAGGAUGGUUGUCCACCGCCGUACCGUGUAAUUGACAUGUUCACCAUGGGCACUAGGUGCAAUGACCCUUCCAGAUGCUCCAGGGUAAUGUAUUUUUCCCCGCAUCGUAUACCUAACAAACAACCGCAGACCUUCCAUCAUACGAUGCAAUUAACUGUACUUCACAAUGCAGUUUGUUGUACCCUUUUUCGUCAAUGAGACGGAUGUGUGGGCUACAUACGUGUACGACAUAGAGGAUAAAGUUGCAUACAUGGUGGAUCCAACACUUACUGAAGCUAGGACAACUGAUGAGUUGCAUACUGAGGAUGCGAAAAAUAUUCUGGAGGGUAUACACUAUUGCCUGUGGAACAUACUGAAAAAACCCAAGUGGGAUGUGGAUGCAAGUUGGGAGUACCGCGGUGUAGACCAUGGCCAAAAACAGUUUGCACUGUAAGUUGUUCAUGCAUGAUCAAUAAUAUCUAGCUGAUUUUGUUAUAGAGGAAUGUCCAUUCUACAUAACCACCAGUUACAAAAUCAUAAAUUCGUUUGUAUUUUCUUACGUUGUGCUUAUGCAAAAUAGUGGGCUCCACAGACUUGAGUGCGCGUAUGCUAUGUGGCACAUGAGGAGUGGUGGCGUGAAACGACACACAAACAAGGUAAUCGUCACUACCCGCUAGACUGUAUAUAACAUUUAUCUCUCAAGUUGUAAGGAAACAAUGAUCGAGGUGUGUUUUCCCCAUUUACGCAGGCUCUCCUUGGUUUUACAAAAGUCCCUCGCAUACAUGCUCACCAGGAUGGAUUGCAAUGUGCAGCAUGAGCAUGGGCCCCCGCCGUACGCGUAAUCUGUUCGUGUGUGAGGGGACCGCCACCUCCGAUCUGCUAAUAAACCAUCCAAUCUAGCCUAUGUUCGGGUGUGACCACAAUAAUCUAGCGAUCGAGUGAUCGUUAUGCUCAUUUUCAAUCAGACCGUAGGUGCUUGAUGUGUGUGUGUGUUGCAGACAGUUUAUUGGUGAGUCAGGUCAAUAAACGUAUGUCGUUGGGUUAUAACCGUCGAGUUGAGACUAGUGUGUUAUAAAGACUUAAUCUAAAAUAAAUUACUAGAUUGAAUCUAUUUGCAUUAAAAAAACCGAUCAAAAAAGGGCGAGCGAAGCAAGUGAUCAAAAACUUUGUUCGUCCUAUCUAUAAGAGGAGAGCAUAUGAAAAAUGUAACCCAUUCUUUCGGGUUUUUUAGCUCACUGGCCAUCCCCUGGCAGUUUCGGGCUUAAUACUGAUAUUUUAGCAACAAAUCUAAUAAAUCUAACUGUAGUGGUUGGUGUUUUGAUUUUUUUUGGAAAGGGAGUGUGUGCGAGUUGUCUAUUUCAAGAAUAGGUCGGAUCUAUCCGACUGCACUUUAGAAUAUUUCGUAGUAUUUUCGGAUAAAUAAGGGUGCGCAAUCACGACGAAUUACUUCUGAAUAAAUUCAGAAAUCAUAUGGAAGAACCAUAGCAUUUCGCGACUCGUUGGUAAAUCAACUUUGAUUCUCUAUAAACCAAUAAUGUGAGACUAUUAACACGGUUAAAGCUAAACUGCUUGAAGUCUAGGCAAAAAGGGGUACUCUUUCUACACCUAUAUUAGUAUUAGUACCAAAAUGCUUUAAACAGGAAAUAGCUAAUGUAGAAUUUAUCUGAUAUAGAACACUCAUAUCGAUAAAAUGGUUUGAACUAUUUACUAGAAAAAAAGAGGCACCCUCCCCUUUUUUAUCGAAUGCCGAAUCGACAACCUAUGUAUAAAAUAAAAAAAGAGAAAUUUUUUGGAUUUGAAGAAAAAAAAGACUUCGAUUCAUUUUCUAUUUAUUUCGUUAGUUUUUCUUAAUGAAAUUGAAAUUAUUAAGUAAAGUGCAAAUACAAAUAAAGAAACAACUUUGCUGACCAUGAUAGAUUUUUAUCUAGGCGGAAGAGUCCUCUUAAUAUUUAUCUAAUCUUAUAUAGGUUUCAGUAUAUUGAAAUAGAAAGAUAAAAUAGAAGAGAGAGGAUAGGCUCAUUACUUAAAAAAAAGAUAUGGAAAUAGCCAUAGCAAAAAAAAAAGGAGCGUGAGAGCCAAAUGAAUCGAAAGAUUCAUGUUUGGUUCGGGAAGAGAUCAUAAAAGUUGUAAACUUAAUAGCAAGAUAAUCUACUUUCAUUAAAAGAUUUAUUAGAUAAUCAAAAACAGAGGAUCUUGAGUACUAUUCGAAAUUCGGAAGAAUUGCGUAGAGGGACCUUUGAGCAGCUCGAAAAAGCUCGGAUUCGAUUACAGAAAGUCGAACUAGAAGCGGAUGAGUAUCGAAUGAAUGGAUACUCUGAGAUAGAACGUGAAAAAGAAAAUUUGAUUAAUGCUACUUCUAUUAGUUUGGAACAAUUAGAAAAGUCUAAAAGCGAAACCCUUUAUUUUGAAAAACAAAGGGCAAUGAAUCAGGUCCGACAACGGGUUUUCCAGCAGGCCGUACAAGGAGCUCUAGGAACUCUGAAUAGUUGUUUGAAUACCGAGUUACAUUUCCGUACGAUUCGUGCUAAUAUUGGCAUUCUCGGGUCCAUGGAAUGGAAGAGAUAAUGAAAUUAAUAAGGCCUUGAGCUUCUACUUUCGUUUAGAAUUUAGGCAUUAUUUUUCCCCUUAGCUUUCGAAAAAAAAGAGUCAAGAAACACUAAUGGCAACUCUUCGAGUCGACGAAAUUCAUAAAAUUCUCCGUGAACGUAUUGAACAAUAUAAUAGGAAAAUAGGGAUUGAGAAUAUAGGUCGUGUAGUUCAAGUGGGGGAGGGGGUUGUUCGUAUUAUAGGUCUUGGUGAAAUAAUGUCAGGUGAAUUAGUCGAAUUUGCAGAAGGCACUAGGGGUAUUGCUCUUAACUUGGAAUCCAAAAAGGUUGGGAUUGUAUUAAUGGGCAAUGGGUUGAUGAUACAAGAGGGAAGUUUUGUAAAAGCAACAGGAAGAAUUGCUCAGAUACCCGUGAGCGAGGCUUAUUUGGGUCGUGUUAUAAAUGCUCUGGCUAAACCUAUAGAUGGGAGAGGUGAAAUUAUAGCUUCGGAAUCUCACUUAAUUGAAUCCCCUGCUCCAAGUAUAAUUUCCAGGCGUUCCGUAUAUGAACCCCUUCAAACAGGGCUUAUUGCUAUCGAUUCGAUGAUCCCUAUAGGGCGCGGUCAGCGAGAGUUAGUUAUUAGGGACAGACAGACUGGCAAAACAGCAGUAGCCACAGAUACAAUUCUCAAUCAAAAAGGGCAAGAUGUAAUAUGUGUUUAUGUAGCUAUUGGUCAAAGAGCAUCCUCCGUGGCUCAAGUAGUAACUACUUUCCAUGAGGAGGGAGCCAUGGAAUACACUAUUGUAGUUGCUGAAAUGGCGGAUUCACCUGCUACUUUGUUUGUGGGAUACCUGCAUUUCUCGAUAUAGAUGGUGCAAACCGUCAUUUCUUUGACGCUGCUACUAAAAAAAUCAAGAGUGAGGAAAAAAAAUCACUGCCUAUGAUUGUGUGUCUUGCAAAAUUAUGUUGGCUAGGCUACAGUAUGAAACAAUCAUGGGUUCAAGUCUGCAUAAGAUAUGUUGGCUGGCAGAUAUCAAUCAAUCGCGAGACAUACACGCUGUUUUUUAUGUCUUCAACCGGGCGGUCUAUGUCAGUCGAUAUUUCGACGAAUUUUCAGAUGCCAUGGUGCCCCAUCGGUGAUGCUGGAACCACGAAGGAACCGGGUAUGCACAAACAUAAAGACAAACAUUCAGCUGAAAUUUGUGUAGGUAUGAUUAUUUCUGAAACAAUCAGGUGGGAGUUACGCUUACAAAGUACUUUCUCCGAUGAGAUUUUACAUUUGAAAUUGUCAAGACGUUCGCUCACAGAUCUUGUGUCCAUAUUCUUGGGAAGUGCUCUGGUGCAUUUAGGGGAUCAUAUUGAGUUUGUCCUUGUCCAGUCACGACACAACGUCGCAACACCCUGCAUAGCCGAUCACUUUUUCCAAACGGGAAAGGUAAGUCUACCUGUUUUGGCACUCUAAUGGUGGUAAAAAAAAACCUGUAACAAACUGAAUUGUGGUUCAAUACAAAGAAGCACGCCAACUCGUAGAGGAAUACCACACAUGAUACAUUACUAAACAUGGCCAUUGCACACGAGAUGUUUUAUUAUUACUGGAGAACGCUGGUGCGAACAGUUAUUUGUUCCAUGAUUCAGACUACAUUUUUUAUUUAGUAGGUGAAGAUACACUACAUUGGAUUGACAAGCAAAAUACAUAUGCUGAUACUAGGUCAAAAGAAGGGAUCAAACACCAGUGAACAAAGUAGCAAAGAACACCGCACAUAUUACAUGCCGCGCUGCUUGCACUUGGAUCGAUUAUGCCCUGUCGCAUGACACAAGGAGCACUUUACUGGGCGCUUAAUCAUCUUGCUUUCUGAUCCAACUAUCUCCGUUGAAGUCCAACAACUCUUUGCAUCAACACCUUCUAUGCCAUAUAGGCUGUCCACUGCUCGUGUCUUUCUUUUUACAUCAGAUAUGUACUCCAUCCUUGAUCGUGGCCUCACAACCGAUGGUCUGCCAGGGGUUCUUUUUCUUUCCGGUGGCUUUAGAUCUUGAUUCGCAACAUUAGCUGGUAUUUCCAGCAACACACGUUUGUCAGCGAACGCAUUGUCCUGCUUCAACUUACCCACGUCUGCCCGUAUUUUCCGUAUUCCUUUCAUCGCAACAUAUAAAAAAAGCCGUGUGGCCAGCUGAUUCCUUUACCAUUUCGCGAGCAGCUAAUGUGAGUAUGUUGUGGCCGUACGAUGGGUCAUCAACAUAUUUCCCUUUUGAUACGAUAUCGUUAUCUGACUGAGAAAAAACUCUUGCGUUCUUUGUGCACCUCUUCAUGAUAUUUUUUGGCGGGAUGUGCAAUACAUCAUUACGCACCAGUACCUGGAACACAAGUGUGAAUAUAGUUGUCAGAAUAACUAACGUCCCAGUGAUUACUUUUUUAACAUUAAGGCGAAUAACGGAAAUAAAACCUUCAGCGCGUGUCGGCACAGCAUCCUCUAUGGAUACAACAUAUCUUUUCGCGACUUCUGAUUGUGCAUGCUCAGUUGGUGCUAGUGUUACCAGAAAUGUCUUCCUGUCACCUCCAUCAUUGACUACAUACGAACCAGACAAGUACAGCUCCUCCUUGAACAUUUCAAACAUAGCCCUUGUGUAUAUUUGAGCGGCAUUUGCUUCUAUCGGUGUCGUCGACGUACAUAUACGUCGUCUCUGCACAUCACAUGUAUGGAUUGUGUAUGUAAGUUUUGUUCACAAUAUCCAAGUCUUGUGAAUGCCAAGAACGUAGAAAUAGUCAAAUUUUAUAGUCGAAUUUGAUAUCUUAAGUUGUUUGUCAUGUAGUAAAUGUCACGUAAAGAACGGAACACCAACCUGAAGCGUGGCAUGCUCUUCCCGUCCUUCAUCGGCCACACGAGAACUGAGUAGAUUGUUGUACUGCUGGACGAAAAGAUGCAUCGGUGAUGACCUUGUAAUGUAUUGCUUUAGCAAUGAAUUUGCGCUCUCGCUCCUUUGUGUGCUUGUCAUACCGGCACAGAAAACACCAAGAAAAUAUGGUUUUGCCCACAUAUUCCUGUUUGCAAAUAGCCGUUCGAUAUACACAUUAUCUUUGAGUUCGUACCUUGACACCAGAUCAGUCCAUCUAUGCUCGAAAUCCUCUGGCGGCAUAAUCUCGUUAAUGAGUGUGUGGAACUUCUUCUUGAAAGCAGAAUACUAGCUGUAGAUGUGACCCAGUUUUUCUUUUGCAUUCCUCAGAACAUGCCACUUGCGCCACCGGUGACGUGUGUCUGGUAAAGUGCUCUGUAUAGCAGCACGCAUAGCUUGACACUGGUCUGCAAAGGAAGAAAAUCACACGUUAACAACCCGUACAACUGGUAGCUAAGUUUUGUACAUCAUGUCGUACAGACUUUAACCUGUUAGUAUGGUGCUUGGGUAUUUGGUCUUCAUGAUGGAUACGAAGCUCCUGAACACCCAUUCAAAGGAUGUGGUUGUUCCUUCCCUCAUAAGAACACCGGCAAAAAUCACAGAUUGAUAAUGGUUGUUGACACCAACAAAAAGACCAAAGGGCAUGUUAUACAAAUUUGUCUUGUAAGUUGUGUCAAAUGUGAUAGCAUCGACAAAACACUCGUAGUCUGCCUUGUUCCGUCCAGUACUCCAGAUCAUUGUCUUUACCCUUCCUUCGGUGUCAAUAUCAAUGCCAGUGUCUCGUGUUCUCAUCUCCUGCAGUAACGUAACGGUCUUCGGAAGAUCAUCUUCCAUGGCCUCUUGAGAUAUCUUCGAACAAAGGUUCCGUAGUGCUUGUUUCCGAAAUGGUACAGAACCGUUGUUCCCACCUGCUGAUCCCAGAAUGUUAUAAACUUUACCAACACUGAUGUUGUUCUGCCUUAGGUUUUUCACGAAAUCUAGGUCCAAUGGAUCAAUUUCGUUGUGACAGUUCCAUUGCCUCUUCUCAUCACAACUUGGUGAUAACCUAUGAUUGUGAUUUUUGUUGAAUAUUGAGAUGUACCAUCCAUGAUCAUGGGUAUGGAGCAACCUAAUCAUAGCGCCACAGUCAGUUCUGCACGAUGCACUGUUCUCCUUGUUUGGCUUGCCCUGUUUAAGAAUCAAUUAAUUAGAAUGAUGCAUCUGAGCACGCCACUAUAAAGUACAGUAGUUAGAUGAUAUGCAUAUCCCGUUAGAUGAAAAUUUAUGGGAAGCUGGUCAAGUAAUUCAUACCUGGCAUUGACAAACAAUUUCAUGAAUGCUCCUGUACCCAUGCUUGUUUAUACGACUGCGCCCAUGAUGAAUCCCAAACCCUUGCUCCCACGAGAACAAGUUGUAUACAUCAAACUCUUCCUGUCUAGAAUCAAAUUACAUCCCUACGGAAGGUGUAAAAAUGUCUUUACUAUCACAACCACCAGCUCCUAAAAUUAUCCGUUGCAGAGCCGUGUUGCCCUUCAUGCCCUUGUUCCUACCAACACCAAGACCAUGAUAUCAGAAACACUUAAUUUAUGACCACAGAUCUUCGAACAUAACGGCGCUCAACGGCAGUCGAAUAUGUAAAAAAAAACUUUACGAUAUGCAUACACGUGCAAUUUUUGUUAGGACGCCAAUACAAUGUCGUCCGCUUCAAACAAAAUCAGGUUACACUGAUACGCAGUUGUAUUCCAUGCAAAGGGGGAAAAAAAGUCAUAUGCCGGCAGUCUUAGAGAUAAGGAUAAGUGGAGUUAGCAAUUUAUUUUAUCCACGCAUCUGAUGUGUAUAAAUUGAUCAGGACUCUCCAUGUAUUUUUCUUUAUAUACAGUAAUCGGAUAAAAACAUAUACACAGCAACGUAAUUCUUGAAGCUGUAUGGAACAGUCAACAUCAGUAACUCCAUAGCAUGCUCAGUAUUGGAUUUAUGUUAGCAUACCGGACAGCUGGUAAACCAUUGUACAAAUGAUGCAUCAUGCUAAGAUAAACGAAACCAGAGGUCAGUCGCAAUUCAUAGAACUUUAUGGAACAACCAACUUCAGUAUCUGAAUAGCACGCUCUAUAUUAGGUAACUGUUACAUACCGGACAGCUGAAAAACUAAUGUACAACUGACGUAUCAUGCUAAGAUAAAUGCAACCAGAGGUGAUUUUUAUGAUGGGAUCCACGCCUGGUAAUAUGAUCUAAUUUUGUGUUGUCAUCAAAUGUACCUCUUCUUCCAGCCAACAAAAUCGGCCGACGGCAGCGUCUCGACGUGUGUUCUGACGACCACCGCAUGAGACGCAUCAUCAGCGUCUCCGGAUUCAGAUUUGUGCAGACUAAUUCAAUUCGGUACAUCAACAGUACGCAAUAUUAGUCGGGGACUAUCGAUUCCACCAAAAUGGUGGCGAAUCAACAAAGCACAAUUACGAGUAAACAAAGGGAUCUCACGAUUCAGGUGGAGGUUCCAGCGUAGCAUGGCAACUCGAGGGAGCACGAGGCUUUGUGCGUUGUUCGCUCGAAGCAGCAGCCAACUGCGCAAUUGGAUCAGAUGGGGUGCUGCGGCGAGAAACCAAUGGGUCAAAAAUCGAGCCUGCGGGCUGGAUCUGUUGGUAGUUCUGGAAAGAAACAUCUGUGUUUGCAUACCUGGGAAUUUCCACUGGAAGCAUCGUCGAUGCAAUCGCGCUGCAGCCCUUCAACCGGUCGUCCUCCGAACAGGGCAUCAGAUCUUGGACCGCCGGAGUUUCCAUGUGUUUCUGUGUCGAUAGCUAGAUGUGAGCAUGGAUGAUAGCUAGCUGUUCCGGCUUAUUUGCGUCACCGGAUAGAUGGGCAGUGUAGAUCCUGCUGCUCAGUUCGUUCAUCACAGGGAGCAACACCUGUCGGGCUGAAGGACGCGUGUUGAUGCCAGGAGAAGAGGACCACCGGCCUAUGUGAACAGUCACCAUAGGGUUGUUUCAGGCCGAUUACUGUUCACAAUGCUUAUUUUAACAUUACUGUCGUGCUGGCAACCACGACAUUUAUGGAACGUUGCGGUGUUGCGACGGAGCAGAUAGUUGUAUGUACGUACCUAUUUGGGUAGAAAAUUAAGUCCUCACUUGGGUCUCAUGCCCUGCGAAAUCACGUGAGGCAUUUUUGUCUUUGCAAAAUCCGUAUUGAACUACCGCGAAUCUUGACAAAAUUUUAUGGUGGAUUUUAUUCCGAUAGGUCCAGUAGCCGGUAGAAAAAAUUCCUUAUGGCCUCCUGGCAACAUCAAGCGGCGACGUAAACACCCAGAGCCACGUCUGCCCGCCCGCUGUUCUAACGGUGGACCCCAAGAGCCAAGUCCAAAUACCGUCAGUUCACCCAACACAAACCCAGCUUCUCCAUCUCAAAAAAAACUUGUCGAAAUCCCACGCUUCCACGCAGACGCAUAUAGACAUGCCCGCCCGCCCGGCGCGCGCCACCCCCACCAUUCCUGUCGCCGCCGUCGACGAAUCCUAGGCGGGAAACCCAGUAGGCAGAAGAAGCAGCAGAAGCACUCUACAACUGCGUGCCACCAGAAAGGCAGCGAGACACGUACGCACACCAACCAGGCAACCCGCCUGAUUUGCCUCCUCCACCGGAACGCGGCCGAAAAGUCAGAGAGAAAUCGGCCCACGGCCGAGGACCAAAAAGGCGAGGGAGUUAAGGACGGUCUGGUAAGCCGUGGCCGUCAGGCCGGCCGCGAGGCCGUCAAUGGCCCAGUAUAUAUACGCCACCGCCACCCGCCACUGCUGCUCCCCGCGCGUCCACCCCGCGAUCCCGCUCCAGGUUCCCGCUCCUCUAGCCCCGCCGUCGUCUCGGCCGCUUCGGGUAUCGCCGCUCCGGCGGAGGUGGGCCAUGGGCGCCAGCGAUCGCCUGAAGGUGGCCGACGCCAGGCCGCGGCAUGCGGGGCCAUGCGCGGCUACCAUGCUGGGCGAGCCGCUGCCGGCGUCCGACGACCACGGCCUCGUCCACCCCAGCGCCGACUUCUCCGCCCAGGCCCUCGUCUCCUCUCCGCAGCAGGUGCACACUGCACACACGACUUUUUUUUUUCUACUUCCCAUUGAGAAAAUUUGAGAUUAUGUCGAUUGGAUCCCAAAUUCGUGCCGUACAUUCGAAGACCUUCCGCUUGUGCCGCAGAGUAUGCGGCUAGUUGCGAUCCAUCGCUACCCACGGGACCAGAUAAGGCAGAUAGGGACUGACUGGACAUAAGUAGACAAGUACGGAGUACUCCAGUAGUAUGAUUGAGGAAUUGGGGUCAUGCGUUAUUUUCCUAUUUAGUAGGGUCUGUGUACUGACUACAGAGUACAACAUCCGGUGAUUGUGAAUUUAAGUUCUAUGCUGGUUUGUUGCGACGAAUGAUCUGGGUGUUUUUGCUAUGACUGGUGACCAGUACCAGGAGAUGUACCAGCGGUCUAUCGAUGAUCCUGCAGGAUUCUGGUCGGAGAUCGCAGAGACGUUCUACUGGAAGCAGAAGUGGAGCCCUGAUGAAGUCUGUACCGAGAACCUUGAUGUGACAAAGGGACCGAUCAAGAUCGAAGUAAGAACAUGUUCAAGUAAUGUUUAAUUGAGUUGGUACUUGUAUGUGAUGGGACGUCAGGGUGCCAUUGAACUUGUUGGUGUUUGGCAGUGGUUUAAAGGGGGCAAAACAAACAUAUGCUACAAUGCCGUGGACCGCCAUGUGGAAGCUGGAGAUGGUGAGAAGAUUGCGAUGUAUUGGGAGGGGAAUGAACCUGAUCAGGAUGGAAAGCUCACAUACUCAGCACUCUUGGAUAAGGUUUGCCAGGUAAAUACGCUGUUAUGAUGAAACAAUUGUAUGUAGUAUGUCAGUGAUGUAUGCAUACAUGGUUUUAAUUUAUUUCGGUGUGCUCCAUGGCAGCUAGCAAACUACUUGAAAAGUGUUGGAGUUGGAAAAGGUGAUGCCGUGGUUAUCUACUUGCCUAUGUUGAUGGAGCUGCCUAUUGCAAUGCUUGCCUGUGCACGCAUUGGUGCUGUUCACUCUGUAAUUGUUUCCCCACUUUGCUUGCCAUUUAUUCUUAUUUACUCUAUCAAUGCUUCCUUGUUAUGAUGCUGAAUUAUGUUCAGGUUGUGUUUGCUGGCUUCUCUGCUGAUGCACUUGCGCAAAGAAUCACUGACUGCAAGCCUAAGGUUGUGAUUACAUGCAAUGCGGUGAAAAGGGGGCCGAAACUCAUCCCUCUCAAAGAUAUAGUAGAUGCAUCUCUGGUUCAAAGUGCAAAGAAUGGCGUCUCUGUAGGUAGGUAUACACUAUAAUCUGACUUCCAUGAGCAUUGACUAUCAGCGCUUUUUUCACUGUUAUUUAUAGUUCAACUUGCUCAUUCUUCCAAUUCAUAUUAGCUGUAAUUGUUUAAGCCUCUCCGGAAUCAGGAUGAUAAUUGAUAAAAUUUCUAGAGUACAAGCAAACUUUAUAUUACUACCACAUUUGUAUCUGGAAAAUGCGCUGGAGCAUGUGCGCCUUGGUGAAUUUGCAUACUUCCAAAUUUUUGAAAAUUUCAAUAAAAACUUCCUCUGUGCAUUGUUCGAUAAACUCUGUAUCUACAAAUUUAGUGCAAAAAUACGGUCAUCUGUGAUACACAAAACAAAAAAAGAUGAACAGUGUACAUUUAUGGUUGCUGUUUAGACUCUACAACCUUCUUCUUUUUUGUGCAUCACACAUAUGACUGUAUUUCUUUCCAUCCAUAUUAUGCAUCUGCAAAAAAAUCAGAUUAUCUUCAAAACUUAUGGGUGUUACCUUUUAGUUUUUUUAUUUUAAAACCACCGGGUGUGUGCACACCCAGGUCAACAUAAAAAAACUACACUCAUUUUUAUCCCUAGAAUAGUGGCCACAGUUUUCAGUUUUAACGCCUUGGUGCACAUCAGGUCUUGCUGUUGAUCAUGGACAUUGCUUCUUCUGAGAAAAUAGUUCUCACUCGAUGAGCAUGCAUGGAAUUGGUUUAAAGGAAUGCAAUGCAUAGUACUGAAAUUUUCUCAUGUCGUGUGUUUUCUGUGCGGAGCAGGCAUUUGUUUGACAUAUGAAAAUCAGUUAGCCAUGAAGAAAGAGAACACACGAUGGAUAACAGGAACAGAUGUGUGGUGGCAGGUACAUCCAAAUCAAAGACGUUCAAAAUGUUCAAUAUAUAUCAGAUUUUUUUUUAAUCACAGAACCCUCAGAAACUUCUGUAUCAAUCAGAAGAUCUUAUUUCGACCUUUCUGUUUUGUGUUGUAUUACAAGUAUUUGAGUUAUUUCUUAAUACAAUAUGUUCUCCCAGGAUGUUGUGCCCAAUUUCCCAACUAGAUGUGAUAUGGAAUGGGUUGAUGCAGAGGAUCCAUUGUUUCUUCUAUACACAAGUGGCAGCACAGGAAAGCCAAAGGUACUGUUAAACCCAUGUAACACUAAUAUACCAGCUGAAACACUAAUGUAUUUGUGAAACACUGAUAUACCUGUAAAGUGUGCAGGGUGUAUUGCAUACAACUGGGGGCUAUAUGGUGUACACUGCAUCAACAUUUAAGCAUGCAUUUGAUUACAAGCCAACAGACAUAUACUGGUAAGAUGUAAAUUUUUUGGGGUCUUCUGGGUGCAUAAGUUUGUUCCUAAUGCUAUGGGAUACUCCUCUAGAAACUGGGUUUUCUUACUGGUUUCCCUGUUUCACUUACAUCAGGUGCACUGCAGACUGUGGCUGGAUUACUGGACAUAGUUAUGUGACCUAUGGUCCUCUCCUGAAUGGAGCCAUAGUUCUUCUUUACGAAGGGGUAACUUCAGAGAGUAUUUGAGUUGAUAUUUUACAUAAAAUCGUAAUCAAGGGUGACCCUAUGCUUUUCUAGGCUUGUUUGGAUUGGACUGUUUGUAAUUUGUAAUUUAUUUGUUCAAUGCAACCCAUAGGCUCCAAACUACCCUAAUCCUGGUCGGUGCUGGGACAUCGUUGACAAAUACGGGGUGACAAUAUUCUAUACCGCUCCAACACUUGUCCGUUCACUCAUGCGUGAUGGUAGUGAGGUAUGCUGUUUGUUUCUUGUGUGCUCCUUUACACAUUUAGGCUAAUGGCGCAGCCGUACAGCCAUGCUUAACUUUUUUUUCACAUGAUUAAUUUGUUCAGUAUACUGGGAAGCUUUCUCUAUCACAUAAUAUAUUUUUUUUGAAAAGUAAUACUUCCUCCGUCCAACAAAAGAUGUCUCAAGUUUGUCAAAAUUUGGAUAUAUCUAGACAUGACUUAGUGUAUAUAUGCAUUCAAAUUUAGUCAAAGUUGAGACAUCCUUUGUUGGACGGAGGAAGUAAGAAAAACAUUUGUUCGAGAGUGAAAUAUCUAAUUAUUAUCUAUCCGUUUGGGGUGAUAUAUUCCUGAGAAUUUAAAUUGUACUUAAUGAAUACUGUCCCACAUAUAUAUUUUGUGUUUAUAUCCCUUUCCUUGUGAUGUAUUUUGCAGUAUGUUGACCAGUACUCUCGUAAAUCUCUAAGAGUUCUCGGAAGUGUGGGUGAGCCAAUAAAUCCCACUGCAUGGAGGUUUGUGGUUAUGUUCUGUGUCUUAAUUGUAGUUAUUGAACCGAGCAAUACUCGAUUGGCUAGAACGCAUGUGUGCAUGCUCGCUCACCCGCGUUCGUGGCCCAGCCUCCACAGGGGUGCUUGCUUUUUAUUAAAAAUGCCCUGAAUGCUAGUGCCAAUGGGUCAGGUUUUUUUUUAAAUGUAGUGCAUUGAAAAGGUCGUAUAUCCAGUGCACUACUGUUCAUUUCAGGUGGUUCUAUAAUGUUGUCGGGAACUCAAGAUGCCCCAUAUCAGACACUUGGUGGCAGACUGAAACUGGUGGUUUUAUGGUAAUUGUGUAUUCAUAUUUUGUGUGCGAAAUUUUGGUGCUCUUAAAGUGAGUUUCAUCUUACAUAAUUGAACUGUAAUGUGUCUUUUUGUUAGAUUACUCCUUUACCUGGUGCUUGGCCUCAGAAACCAGGAUCUGCGACAUUUCCUUUUUUUGGUGUACAGGUAUACAUGACUCCAUCAAAAUGAAAGUUUCAUCCCUUCUCUUAUUUGGAAUAACUAUGCUCAUGGUUCACAGCCAGUCAUUGUUGAUGAGAAAGGGCGGGAAAUGGAAGGAGAAUGCAGUGGAUAUCUUUGCAUAAAGAAGUCAUGGCCUGGGGCUUUCCGGACUCUGUUUGGCGAUAAGGACAGAUAUGAGACAACAUACUUCAAACCAUUUUCUGGGUAUUAUUUCUCUGGUGAUGGUUGUAGGAGGUAACUAAACAAAUAUUUUGCGAAGGUGAAGAAGAUAUCUGGCAUGUCCAGGAUUAUAAGUUCAGACCUUGACAAAUUUAAAUUUUGCGAAUCAGGGACAAAGAUGGUUACCAUUGGCUGACCGGAAGAGUUGAUGAUGUUAUCAAUGUCAGGUAAAUAAGCUAGUUACUAUAUUAUUUACACUCCUGGAUUUGAAAUCAAUGCAUGACCUUAAAACUCUUUCAAGCUCUAAGUAAUUGGCACAUCUUUUAAAACUGUAGUGGACACCGGAUUGGUACAGCAGAGGUCGAGUCAGCUCUGGUUUCACACCCAAAAUGUGCUGAGGCCGCUGUUGUUGGAAUUGACCAUGAGGUCUGUUCCUGUACUUAUUUCCCCCCUUCUUUCUGGCUUCAUGUCCCUGUAGUUUCGUCAAACUCAAGUCUUAGAUCACUAAUACAUGUUUCAGGUCAAAGGUCAGGGAAUCUACGCAUUUGUGACUUUGGUUGAUGGUAUUCCUUACAGUGAUGAUCUGCGCAAAAGCCUCGUUAUGACGGUCCGCAGCCAGGUAUUUUUGUCUGAUAUUUUGUUAUAGUGAUGGUACUACUGGAAAGAUCCAUGUGUGAUGUAAAGUAACCUGAUAGCAAUGCUUCUUGAUCUAAAAUAAUAUUCUCAUGCUUUUUCAAUAAUAAGACCUAGAAUUUCAAUAUGCUUUUCUCGGAUUUUUUAACCUUCUGAGAUUGGAUGGAAUCUUUCUCCUGGGGAGUUUUGUCUCAACACGAAUACAUGGUGUCAUUUUGUGCCAGAUUGGCGCGUUUGCAGCACCUGACAAGAUCCAUUGGGCACCAGGACUCCCAAAGACACGGAGCGGCAAGAUCAUGCGAAGAAUAUUGCGGAAAAUUGCCUCCAGGCAGCUAGAUGAGCUCGGUGACACCAGCACGCUUGCUGAUCCCGGUGUUGUUGACCAGCUGAUCACGCUUAGCGAUACCUAGUGUGUAACGACAGAGAUGGCACAUUGUCACCUGCACUUUCAUUACCUUUUUUUUUCUUGCCUAGUCUGUGAUGAGUACAGAGAAUCAGUUUAUAUGCGGUGCAUCGCUCACGGUUCCCAUGAUCUAUUUAGUGCAUAGGGGAGUUGCAACAUGCAAGUUAAAGUGAGAUGUGAUAAUAUUAGUGGUUGAUACAGUGUCGAACUGCCUAUGUAAAUUGUUGGAUCAUAGCAAAGAGAGAGUAUAGAUGUAUGUAUCCUGCAAAAAAGAGAGUAUAGAUGUAUGUAUUCGUUACAUAAAUAGGGGAACAUGCCAAUGCGUCUACAAUGGGUAUUGAGCUGAUAUCUUUUUUUACAUGCACAUACUUGUCAAAUCUGUUUCAGGGUAUCUCUUUGACGAGUUUUGACGUGACACCAGGCCUGUUCUUUUCUUAGUUUGUUGUCAUUUUGAGUUGUAAUAUUUGAGAUCUAAAAGCUAUUUGUGACUUCAAUAAUAAUGGCUGUGCAUUGAUCGAUGCAGAGGCGGGAGGAAAUGCCCUCUUUUUUGGAACAAAGAAGAGAACAUUUAAAUGAUGCCAAAGGUACAACCAAAUCACAGACAAAAACAUAAUCAAAACGAAAAACAAGGACGGGACAGAACAUAAAAAGGACAAUCUGGGGCAAAAAGCUGGACAAAAAUAGCAGCCACAUAGCCAAUAUAGUACUAGGCAGUGAAAAACUAAUAAGUUGGAUGAAGAGCCUGGCUGCCUGGGCAACAAAGAGCAUGGAAAAGACCCAGCAGAAAUAGGCCUGCAAGUGUUGAGUGUCUGAGAUCAAUGACAAAAUGGUUGGUGGUCCGGUCCCAGGGCAUAGUAUGGCUGCACUUGCUUAUCAAUAGAUUGCUUCAAAAGGAGAUAACCCUAUGGCGACUGCUGCCCUCCUAUUCCCGACGAGAGGCAAAGAGCUGCGGUGGCGGUGGCGACGGCCGUGGCGAUCGGAGGUCCAGGGUGCUUGAUCUGAGCCUGCAGCUGCUCCCUGCGCCGCUCGACCGCCCUCCUCUUACCGACGAGAGGCGGUGGAGCUGCGGCGGCAGUGGCAACAGGUUGUGGCGGCCGGACGUGGAGGUGGAGUGGUGGUUUCGUCAGAUUGGUGGUUCACUUUGCCAGCAUGUGGCAGUCAACCAAGUCACACCUACCUUACCAAGAAACAGGCAAAGGGGGUCAGGGUGCCCGGUCUCAAUUGUUGGGGAGUUAAAUAUCUGGUUCCACAGUUGAGAGUGUUUUUUGAAUUUCGCGAUAAGUUAACUUGCUUCUAAUCCAAAUAAUUUUGAUUAUUGACAGGGUCAGCGGUCAUUGUCAUUAUGAUUAUUAUGAAGUUUUGUGAAAUUAGCUUAACCAAUCCUACGAGCGAAUCCCUUCCAAUUUUUCUCAAGUUGGAAUAAAUGACUCUUGAGGACUCUGGUUCUCACCUAUUCUGGCAUGAUCCUUGGAUCAGAGGAGAAAGAUUGGAGGAUGUCACUCCUCACCUAUUUGAAGCCAGACCUCGUGCUAUUGAGAUGAUGACAGUGUCUGAGGGGAUGCUCAACAAUUUAUGGAUACGUGGCAUAAACCCUAAUCUCUCGGCACAGGGCAUCCAGGAGCUGCUGUACUUGUGGGACUGGGUGUGUCGGCAUUCAAUCUGUGUGGGGAAAUGAUGAGUUAUGUAAAUGGUCUGAGUCUGGGAAGUUCACUGUAAGAUCGGCGUACCUAGCUAUGUUUGAAGGAAGAAGAAUUCGAAGGGCAUGAUCUGAUUUGGAAUUCUAAGGCUCCUGCAAAGUGCAAAAUAUUCAUGUGGCUGGCAUGUUGAUGAAGGUGUUGGACGGCUAACCGUCUUCAACGAAGAGGGAUGGAUCACCCGAGAGCUUGCCCACUGUGUGACCAAGUGUUUGAGAAUAUUGAUCAUUUGCUCCUUGGCUGCGUUGUGGCCCGACAAGUCUGGACUUUCUUCCUUCGCAAGUGGGAUCAAGAACAGUUUUUGCCGAGUCAGAAUUUAGUGAUCGCAGAAUGGUGGUCCUCCAUUCAGUUGCCGAUGAAGAUGAAGAAGGUUUUGGCAACAAAAUGCACGCUUGUUUGCUGGACAAUCUGGAAACAUCGGAACAAUGUGGUGUUUGAAGGCACGACACCAAACGCUAAGGGCAUCAUUAGCGACGUUGAGAAAGAGUUAAUAGCAGCGCUGCAAGCAAAACUUGUUAGAGGAGGGUAGCAGCGCUGCAAGCAAAACUUGUUAGAGGAUGGUAGCAGCGCUGCAAGGUGAGUUGUUGCCAUGGCGAGAUGCCGGCUAAUGCAACGUAACAAACUUGUAUAGCUGCUUCUCAGCUUCCUUUUCUAUAAAUGAAUGCUAGGUGUAUUCUAGAAAGUAAAAAAACACUGGUUCUAAAAUGUUUGUACAUACCAAAAUUUAAAACAAGAAGCAAAUACGUACGUGUACCAAAAUCUAACACUGGCUCGAUUUCCAGACGACAAUCACAUGCAACAAAUUCAUGUACAAAGCAUCCCUCAGAAUUGAACGGAAAAAAAUCCACGGGAUCUCGACUGUGCACAUCGGCGGGAAUUACGGAGUAUUCCAUAUGGCAGCCUGUCUAUCUCCCUUGGAAGAAACGGAUUCUGCACACUUGCGACAAGAUCGACAAAUCCAACACUCGUCGCUGCAAUGGAUACAUCUGCUUGGAAAACAUCACUCCCCAUAAAUCGCCGCGGGCCAUCUCCUAAUCAAGGGGACUGAGCCACUCUCGAGGCAGCAAAGCAAAUAUACACAGGAAUAUGAAGACCGGCGAAAAACCGCACGUCGUGUGUCUGCCGGCGCCGGCGCAGGGCCACAUAACGCCGAUGCUGAAGCUGGCCAAGAUACUCCACGCCAGGGGCUUCCACGUCACCUUCGUCAACACCAAGCUAAACCAGCAAAAACUGCUCAGCUCGCGAGGACCGGCGGCGCUCGACGGCCUCUCGGAUUUCCGUUUCGCCGUCAUUCAGGAUGGGCUCCCGCCAUCCGGUGCAGACCCCGCCCAGGUAUGCCACUCCAUCACGACGAUCUGCCCCCCGAACUUCUUGGCACUCCUUGCCGAGCUCAACGACCCGGCCAACUCUGAAGUACCGCCUGUCACCUGCCUUAUCGUGGAUGGUGUCAUGUCAUUCUGCUACGAUGCCGCAAAGGAGAUCGGGGUGCCGUGUGCCGCGCUAUGGACAUCUAGCGCCUGCGGCUUUAUGGGCUUCCACCACUACCGUCUGCUCUUGGAGCAGGGUCUCGUGCCUUUCAAAGGUACUUGCUGCUUUCUCAGGCUUAUUUUGGAUCGGCUUAUUUUGGAUCGGAGGGAAUACUUGAAGAUUAUGUUUUAACAAUAUAUGGCUUGCCUAAAGAUGUGGCACAGGUCACGGACAACAGCUACCUCGACACCGUGGUCCACGGCUUUCCCGGCCUGUGUGAGGGCAUGCGGCUGCGCGAUUUCCCCAGCUUCAUACGUACCACGGACCGCAACGACAUCAUGCUGAACUUUGUCAUGGACUUUGCCGAUCGGUUAUUAUCGCUCCCUGACGCGGUCUUGCUCAACACCUUCGACGAAAUCGAGAGGCCGGUCCUGGACGCCAUGCGCGCCAUCCUCCCACCCAUGUACGCCAUCGGCCCGCUCCAUCGCCGCGCUAGCAUCGAAGUUCCCGCCGGGUCCUCGCUUGAUGGCAUUGGCUCCAACCUAUGGAAGGAGCAGCACGACGGCCUCCUCGAGUGGCUCGGCGCACACGGCACCAGAACUAUUGUCUACGUCAACUAUGGCAGUUUCACCGUCAUGACGAAGGAGCAACUCCUCGAGUUCGCGUGGGGGCUGGCGGACAGUGAGUACCCAUUCAUGUGGAACAUCCGGCCAGACCUCCUUAAAGGCGACACCGCCGUGCUCCCGCCGGAGUUUCUGUCGGCUGUAUCCGGCCGAUCCAUGCUGACAACAUGGUGCCCACAGGAGAAGGUGAUUGUGCAUGAUGCUGUAGGGCUAUUCUUGACGCAUUCGGGGUGGAACUCGACUCUGGAGAGCGUCUGCGCCGGCGUGCCGAUGCUCAGCUGGCCGUUCUUUGCUGAGCAGCAGACCAACUGCCGGUACAAGUGCACGGAGUGGGGGAUCGGGUUGGAGAUCGGCGGUGAGGUGAAGAGGGCGGAGCUGGCGGCGAUGAUAGGGGAGGUGAUGGAGGGGGAGAAGGGACGGGAGAUGAGGAGGCGCGCAGCGGAGUGGAAGGACGAGGCAGUGCGAGCGACUCUACCAGGUGGUCCUGCCGAGGCCAGCCUGGACACGGUAAUUCGUGACGUACUCCUGGCAAGAUUCGUCUCUGGUGAUGAUGGAAAUUAAACCAAUGACGAUGGGAGCACCUACAGUUGGUUGCUCCUUGCCGGUGGAUUAAACGAAUGCGGGGGUAACACAUUUUAGUUGCAAAAAAAGAAAAACGAAGUCAUUUCAAGCAGAGAUAUAAUAACCAGAUACUGCAUUGGUGAUUCUCCAAACUCCAAAGCAACUAACAAGUAUUAUAGCUAUGGAUGGCAAUGGGUACCCAUUACCCACAUACCCGUCGGGUAUUUACCUAUUAAGAUAAGGGUUUAGGAAUAUUUUACACCCAUGGUACGUAAAUGGGAAAUAUCUUGUACCCGCCGGUUAUGGAGGGUAUGGGUAUGGUACUAUGAUACCCAUAUCCUUAUAUCCUUGUACCCACCUAUUUACAGGCGGAUUGUACAUGUCAUAGGUAGAAGUGUUAUGUAUCACUAAAAAAAUCCUACUGCAGGUAAAGCAUCUCUUUGCCUCCAAACCCGAUAAGCCCCCCUUCCCCCACAUCUUACCCAACCACUCUUAACUAUCCUAUUCCUGGGCAUCUAAUCGUGACUGUGCACGUCACACUUUUCAUUACGUCUGCAGCCUUCCAACAUUCUAGUGUGGACUUGCAAACCUGAACCAUUCUCCAUUGCAUGAUGCUGAUAUAUUGCUCUUAUCAUGUUAAACUAUCAACUAUCUGUAAUUUUACCAUCUUUCAUGCAUUUUUUAUGCUUGCACCGUAUUCUCGUUAUAUGCUCCUGCGGGUAAGGGUUACCCUGUGGGUAAGGUUUACCCUGCGGGUGGAGGGUAUGGGAAACGAUUGAUACCUGUGUGCGGGUACGGGUACGGGUGCCGAGUAUAAUUUUCGGCGAAGGGUACGGGUUUGGGUGAACUCUACCCGUAUCAGAACCCUGCAGGUGCCAUCCCUAAUCACAGCGUACCACCACCAAGCAAGCAUGGUACGAAGUGUAAUUCUACCCGCAAAAAAGAAGAAGUGUAAUUCAAAGUAUGGAGUUUUGAGAGUUGAGACAAAGUAAACUUAUUAGCUCGACAGCAUAGAAAUUAGACAUGUAUCCAUUGUCAAGGGAAAGCUUGACCGCACCAAGGUACAAUUUUUACAAAUCCUAUGCCACAUGGACGAAUGGUUAUCUUGUCUCCGGAAACUAAAUUACAGAAACAUAGAACACAUCAAUCCAUUCCUGCCUCAACGGCCGCUGGCUGAACCCGAACUCGAUCAGAAUCGGCUGCGACGUUGCUGUCCAUGAACCCAAACUCAGUCAGAACCGGCUGCUGCGGCGUCUCUGUCCAUGAACCGCCCGAUGGCACGGACGACCUCGCCGCUCGCCUCUGACCACGGCUUACUGGAGAAGAAGCCGUGCUGCUCGCCGGGUAGCACGAAGAGCUCCACGUCAUUCCCGGCCGCCCUCAUUUCCUCCGCGUACCGGAGCUGGUUAUCCUUGAGCAUGUCCUCGCCGCCGACGACGACGAGCACGCGACCGCCGACACGGGCCAGGCCGGGGCUGUCCGGCCCCAGCGGGUUCAUCAGCGGGUGGUCCUUGUUGGCGCCGGCCGGCAGCGCGAGCCGGUUGUACCGCUCGGCCACGUCCCGGCUCAGGGCCGCCGUGGCCGGCGAUUCGAGCUCGGACUCGGUCGGCGCCUCCGAGGUGAAGGCCGGCAUGAUCAGGACGUACCCUGCGACCUUCACCACGGGGCCGAGCCCCGAAUCGCCGAAGCGCGCGGCCAUGUGGUGCGCCAUGUUGCCGCCGGCCGAUUCACCGGACACGAAGAGCCGUCCAGGGUCGGCGCCCGAGUCCGCGAGCCACGAGCCGACGCCAUCGUCAUCGUCGUUGUUGGGGGUAAGGGCGAGCCGAUCGCGCAGCCAGAGGAGGGCGUCGGCGGCGUCUUCAUGAGCGGCGGGGAGGCGGUGCUCCGGGGCGAGGCGGUAGUCGAAGGAGAGCACGACGGCGCGGGCCUCGUCGGCGAGGCGGAGGCAGCAGGCGUGCACGGACGGCCACGCGCGGCUGCCGAUGCAGAACCCGCCGCCGUGGAAGUAUGCCAGCACGCGUAGCAGGGGCUUCUUCCCUUGCCGCUCCCGGGGCGGCUUUGGUCUGUACAUGCGCACGCCGAGGCCACGGCUGCCGCCGUACGCGGCGUCCCUCCACUCCACGCGCCCGUCGUCGCGGUCCUCCACCGCGUACGGCGACGCUGAGGACCGGACGACGGUCCCGUCGCUCAGCACCUGCAGCACGCCGCGGCAGUCCUCCACUACGUGCGGCGGCGCUGUCGCUUCCACCUCGACGACCGCCGGCUCCAUGUCUCCGGUACGCAUACGCAGGUAAACUAGGACAACAAGCUACUACCCAAACAACUUGAUUGGUUCAGAGGCAACUGGAGUUCAUGUGUCGUGGACUGUUCAAAAAUCAUUUUUUUAAGGAACAGAUCCGUUUUUGUUUUCUUUUUUGAAAAGGACGGAUCACCUUUCAUUUUUGAAAGGAACAGAUCAGCAUUCCAUUUAUUAGUCUUCUUUGACGAAGGCAGGAAGUUUACCAAACUACAUUUCAUAGUGGUAGGCUUCCGCAAGGACACUAUGCGUAGCUAAAGUGUGUGCAUCACCCUUUUACGCGCCCUUGGGUAAUUAAGACUCUUACAUUGAAACCAAGGCGUAGAUGAAUUUAUUUGAAAGUAGAUGAAGUUUAAUUUUUCCUAAAGAUGGCUCCCAGGGAAGAUAAGUCAUAAUCGACUAUUUUCUUACCACUGCAGAAUAAGUUUUUUUUAGAGGAAACACUGGGGAAUAAGUUAAGGAUCACAUUUUGGGAUUUGAGAAGCAAUGCAAUGAUCACUACUUGUAGCAAUGCAUGGGCAUCGGCAUGAGGACCAGACACUCGCUCCAGGUCAACUGCCAUUGCGGCUAGUAAAGUCUCAUCCUCCUGAAAAAUACUUCUCUCUGAAUUAGCCACCAGUGUUGAUCUUCACGACAAUUUAUGAGAAUUUGCACUGCUUGUUUCCUUUGAUCUUUGCUUCACCUUCAAAUAAUUUGUGAUUUGUAAAGUGGAAACUAAUAGGAAACAAUUCUUUGACGGUCGUCGGGGCAGUGCCGUGCGCCGCGUUAAUUUAGUUGCUGCGGCGGAGGUUGUUGUUCCGGUGGCUCAUGCACGCAGGUAAGGGGGGGGCCUUAAUUCCAUCUGCCUCCACGGGUGCUGGUGUUUUCGUCGAGCAAACGCUGCAUGGGUGGUGAAGAUGACGGUGCGGUAGCUUACUGUGUUCAGUCGCCGGUGCCGAUGGGCUUAUGUGGGGCCUUGAUGCCCUAUAGAGGUGCUGUUGGGCAUGGAGGUUAUGAUGGCACUGGCUUUUGGCAUGGUCCUAUAUGAGGGUCAUGGUCAGUUCCAUGGCCGCAGUGGUGGUCGUGGAUGAGGCCAGAUCGGCGGCUCGCUAGAAGAGGGGCAAAAUUGGCAGUGGCAUUACUAAUUGAGCUAGUGGUGCCACCCAGGCCAUUAUCUAGGAAUAAGUUGAUGGCCAUGCGAAAGUCCUCAGCUAUGAAGGUCGAGCCAAUGUUGACAAUGCUUUUAGCAAUGUGACGAUGACUGGUGGCACCAUCUGUUGCUACUUUCAAUGGUGUUGAUGUGAAGAAUAACGAUGAAGAUAGGUCGGAAAAACAACAUAGGAAGGCUAAUGAUUUUGGACUUUUGGUUUUGGGAGCCCGUUCAUGGUUUUUCUAAGGGGUUCGUUGACGAAGAUGUAACUUCGACAAUGUCCAUAUUGAUGGACUUGUAUCAAGAAAAGAUUUCAAGUGUGUGUUGGCGAACUCGUCGGCUAACAAUGACAAGGGGAUACGAUUUACCCAGAUUCAGGGCCCUUGAUGAGGUAAUACCCCUACAUCCUGCUUGUCGGAUCUGUAUUGAUGAAUCGAUUACAAUGGGGUGCCGCAGAGUCUAGAUGCACCGAGUCGUCGAGUGCGUCUAGGCGACUUCUCUGUAAGUUGGGGUGUCCUCUUGGCUCCCCCUCCUGGUCAUUUAUAUAUGCAGGAACUUAGGUCUCAGGUAGAGUCCAAGUCGGUUACAAUGAGGAGAUACACUCUAAUUAAUCUUCUUAUCUUAAAUCGUAAGACUUGGCAUGUAGACACCUGGAGUUGAACUAGGCUUCCUUGUGGGCCCCAGUUGGGUUGUACCGGGUAUAAUCAAGUCGAGUACGUGGUUAGUCAUAACCACGUCAUUCGUUUCCUUUCGGUUGGGAAACAGAGUCCUCUCCGUUGAAGCUACUCAUGCGUGUUCUUUUACGUGUUGUAAGGUGACAUGAGGACGAUUGGCUAUGUGGAAUUUGUUUUUUUUCCUUGCUAUCAUUUUGAGUUGUAAUAAACAAGAUUUGAUCGUCAUUGUCGACUUUAAUAAUAUUGUGGUUGUGUGCAUUGAUGGAUGCAAGACACGGAAACGUCCAUCUGAAAAAAACAAAUAUAAUCCAUACUUCUAAUAGUUUCUCCGAUAUUCGGCUUAUUCUUUUCGUGCCACCAAAGCUAGAGCAGAAUGACAAAUCUUUAGAAACAUCCUCAUUCAGUUCCAAUAUUUCUUUCACAAAAGCUUCCAUCCUCAUACAUAUAUAACACAUAGGACAUGAGUAUCUACAUUCAUAUCUAUCCUUUGGGGUUACAUCGGACUGAUAGUUGGUCUCUCAAUUCCAAUUCUCAAUGUAAAUCUUAUUCUCAUCGAGUAAACAAGCACGCACCCCCUCAACUCUAUCCCUCUUUUUGACCUGCCUAUGCAUAGCACACGUGCGUUUGACUAGCCGCAAAGGUACAAUCCCAUUCCCACGGUCUUUUCUCGGAAAGAAAACGACCCUACGAGCAAAAACACAACGAACUUGUUGAAUAUAUCAGCCCUUUUGUUCGGCUUCCAGCAUGGGCUUCCGUUCUCAGAAAAGCCCGUCCUGAAAGCCGGGAAAGAAAGGAGCCACAGUUUACUGUAGCUAUUGUAGCUGCCGAUGGAGUCUGGAUGUUCAGCGGCAGCGUCCCUAGGGAUAAACAGUACAUCGUAUAAAUUUAUGUGACUCAUUGGUGAAAUCCACUUAGAAAACAGCUAGUUACCGUGUGAUCAUUGUGCUUAGUAACCGGUGCCAGUACAUGAAACAAAUAAAGAAGUACUGUGUAGUCGUUACAAUCCAUCAAUGAUUGGAUUUCUUUGUACGUACCUCCUCCUCCAUUUAGGUUUAUAAGGUUACUGUUGAAGUUUGUGCCACGUUUUGACCAACAAUUAUUCAAAUUAUAUUUAAUAUAUGCAUAUAAAAGUUAUACCAGUAAAAAAAAUUAAAAUACUAAUCCAAGAAUAUAUCUUUUGUGUCACAAUAAUCUCAUAUUGUCAAUGUUAUUUUUUGUCAAAAAUUGGCAUAAAAUUAUGCAUGGGCAUUAUAAACCCAAAGAGAGGGAGUAUACGUUUUGCUCUAUGGACAACCAACGCAAUCUCCUCUGAACUUUGGGCGGCAGCUUUGAUAUGCAGUGGGUACAAUCCAGAGCAAAUCAUUCCUCACUGUCCAAAUACUCAAGGGCCCUAGGAUACGAUGUCCAAGGCAAACCAUGCGCCGACCGGUUGAGUGCAACAGACGUAUUUGGAGCUGAGAUAUAGAUAUAUGUACUGUACUACUCCGUAUAUUUCUUUUGAAUGCAUUGUUAUCAUAUACACAAAUGCUUCUUUACCAUAUACAAAGAGCUGUCAGAGAAAACAACCUGGGCAACUGAAACAACUGUACUUCCUCUUCGCAGGCAGCUGCACAGAUGAUGAAGCUCUGGCCCUAUAGCAAAACUAGGCCUGCAUCCAUCUCUCGCAAUCUCUGUGCAAAUCGGGUCCUAAAUAUCUCUAUAUGUGUCUCCUAGCUCGAUCCACCAUUUGCUCAUGCCCUAAUCCCAAUGAACUUCAACUGCAAACACAUAGGCCACCCAUAAGCCAUGUGUCAGUUCAGGUUGACAUCAAUGGAAAUUCAGACUGAAAAAGCCGUGUAUCGCCUGCAGAAACUUACAAGGUUGUUCUUGGGCUCUCCCCAGUAGAAGCCAUGGAGGAAGAUGGGCAGGAUGUUGCACGCGAGAAGGACAAAUAUCAUCAGCGCGUGCAUCCCCAUCCACUCCAUGGCGAGGGUCGGCCGCCGCAACCCGUACAGGUCGACCAGGGUGUAGAUCCCGGCGAAGAGGAGCCCUGCCGCACCGGCCGUGGCCAGAGUGUAACUUACAGUGUACAGUGGUUUAUUCAUACGCAUUCCUGGAGAGGAUAUCAACGGCAUAGUGGUCAACAUCACUGUCCAGCCGUUCAGGAUGAUUGGGAAAGAACUGUUAGCGUUAACGAGAUCCUUUACCAAAGAAGUCCAUUGCGAAGGCCAGUACUAGCAUGCCGAAGGAAGGGAGAAGCCAGUGCAUGAUUCUUUCCCUGUGUUUCUGCAAUUCAGUUGGGGAGAAAGAUAAUUCAGAAUUAUGUUGCACUAAUCCACAAAGUAAAAUGUUGACCAAACUGACUGACAUUGCAAGCAAGCAUCAUUGUAUGUACCUGAAAAUGUACAAUUAUGUGCCCGUAUUGGAGGCCGAUCAAGCAGGUCACAAUGGCCAUCACAGAACUGGUGAGCGUGGAAAGAUGGGACAUUCAGAAUUCACCGUUGUCUCAGAAAUGGUAUUACAUUUUUUUAAAGAUAAAGAAUGAAGGGUUUUGUUACUGACCUGAGAAGCCCCUCGGGAUCAAAAGGUGCCUGGCACCAUGAAGGAGCGUCAGGUGGAAGUGGCCCAUUUUGCGGUGAAUCUAUGCUACAUUGCUGUCACAGGAGAGAACAGUUACUCCCUCCGAUUCUAAAUUGUCGUCGAAAUAUUACAUGUAUCUAAAUGUUUUUUAAGAAUAGAUACAUCCAUAUUUGGGCAAAUUUGAGUCAAGAAUUUAGGAUCAGAAAGGAGUACUAUUGAUCGGAUAAACCUGACAUCUUUGCACUUCAUUAUUACCUUCGAUCGCGCGUAAACUGGUCGGCCGUAGAGAUGCUGGAUGCCUAAGAUUUUGCGGUCAAUCAUGCCAACCGCGUUGCAACCAGGCCCAGAGUCCCCUCUUACACCGCAUGUUACCUGAUGAAAGUAAUGGAUUUUUUUAAAGUCGUUAGUUCCCCUGUAAUCUACAUGAUACUACUAGAUAUCUCUUAGCAUGAAGAAGAAGUGAGUGAAACUUACAGAGAAGGUUUUCUGUGUGGAACCAGGUCCGGAUAUCUGAUACUCCCAGUCAGGAACGUAGGUGCCAUACAAGAGGACCAUGUAGGUGACUGUAAUUAGCAAGCCUGCGAAUCUAGCAGAACAAAUAGCCAAUGAUAAUUUCAGAAACACACAACUUUUUCAUACAAUUAUAAAUUCCCAAGUCAUGUAAAUCAAAUAGGCAAAAUGGGGGAAAAUGGUUUAAACUCACAGUUGAUAUCUGUAUCUCUUGAUCAAAUCAAAUCCAGAAUCUACAUCAUUGUCUCCCUUGAGCCAAAUCUCACAUAAUGCGGUGAGAAGAUAAGCUAUUGCGAUUCUCUGCAACAAAGGAGAUACGACAUCAAUGUACAUCCUACAUUAGUUCGGUGCACAUGCUGAUGCAGAAUCAUGUAUCGUACAUAUCUUGCAUUUGUACCUGCAGUAUACCCAUAAAACGUAUUUGCGUAACAUCAACCCCAAAUGUCAGGCUACGAACACCAUGAAAAAAUCCACCUGUUCAUCACAGCAGCCAGAGAAAUCGUUAACAUCAAACAUUGUGUCGCAUUAAGUGUGCCAUCGUUAAGAAAUUCAAGAACAAUCGAUAGCCGUCCUAAUAUGUUGUACCUUGGAGAACAAGACCAACACAGAACAGCUUCAGUGCACGAAGUGUCGCCUUUCCAGUUGCCUCCAAUUUGUCCGGUACUCUCUGCACGACAAAAUGACGCAAUUAUUAGGUGUAAGCAAGCUGUAAAUGUCACAUCGGUGUUGAUUAGCUUCAGAAAACGAAGUAAAGGUCAUGAUCUUGACUCUUGCGCUGUCAGUGUGUACCUUGUACGCCAGAGCUAGAGCGACCCCAACGAUGAAAAGGAAAAAGGGCAUGACGAAAUCGGCUAUUGUCACACCUUCCCAUGGGGAGUGGUUCAUUGCCGGAAGAAAUGAUCCAGCGUCGUCCACGAUGAUCAUAAGCUGCAGCAAUGAUAGAAACAGUUAACCUUGCUUGUGGUUAUCUUCCGAAAUUAGGUUUCAUAUUUCUUCUUUUUCACCAGAUAGAAGAACAUCAGGUUUACUGUAGAGCCAAACAGAUGUUGUUGUUUUUUUGCCUUUAGGUAUCAGUGAAAAUGACUAAACAUAAUGUUCAAAGUCGUCAUUAGUAGACUAGUAGUUAGGACAUUCACUUCAUGCUAAACCAAAGCAUCUGCAAAUCCCAUGGGGGUACCAUAUAGAUUGAAUAAGAUAUAAAUCAAUGUAUGUUGGACUUUGAGCCGCCACACACACAACGCCCUAGCUCAGGGCUGACCCUAGACAUAGAGGCAGGGAAUUUUGCUCCUUUUAAAAAAGAAGCCAGAUACGCUUCCAUUUAACAAUAUUAUACCCCUAUAUUUGUGGGUUUUUUUUGUCUAAUUCAAUACACCCCCUUUCCCAAAGUCAGAAGUAUAGGAUAGUCUUUUCAUCUUUUUUCUUCUUCUUCCUACUCUUUAUUUCGUCCUGCAUCUUCUCUCUCGCAAACUAUCCGUUGCCUCAAGAACUAUUUCGACGAUCCCUCCGGUGAGAAUGUUUAGAAUUGUCUCUUCUACGACGUUGUGAAAUUUAAUCGCGAUCCAACGGUGAAAUCUCCGACCAAUACCAAAAUAUCGAGUGUUGUUCGGAUUUCUCAAAGCCAUUCGUGAUAGUUCGAUGUUCACAUGUUUCCCACUGAUCCGUGCAAUGUUUUAACGAUCCCUUCGGUGAUAUCGUGCUGAAUUUUGUCUACCAUUACAAUAUGAAAUUUCAUCGCGAUCCAACGGUGGAAUCUCCGCGAAAUUUUGAAACACCGAGUGUUAUUUGGAAUUCUCGCGACCGUGCGGGACAGCAAGAACAUCCAACUUGUUCGCAUGUUUCCUGAUGCCUCGAGAAUGGUUUCGCUGAUCCCUUCGGUGGGAUUGUGCGUAAUUUUAUCUACUAUUACGAUAUGAAAUUUCAUCGCGAUCCAAGGGUGCAAUCUCCGGAAAACUUCGAAACACCGAGUGAUGUUUGGAUUUCUCGUGUCCGUGCGGGACAACACGAACACUUGUUCGCCUGUUUCCGGCUGACUCAAGAAACUUUUCGCCGAUCCCUUCGGUGGGACCGUGCGAAAUUGUUUUUACUACUAUCUCGUGAAAUUUCGUGAAGAUCCAACGGUGCAAUCUCCGGCAAAAUCGAAAAUACCGAGUGUUGUACGCAGCCAGGCGGAAAAGAAAUGAGGAAAUAUUGUUUAAUGUCCAUCGUACCCUUUUUACGAAGGGGGUAUGGAGUAAUCUGAACCGUCCUUAUUUUUCGUAAGAUGAGGAGGGUGUAUUGAAUCAGAAGUGUCUUCUUUUUGUGGGCCCUAUAUUUGUGGUUCUUGCAUUGCUGCCUUAAAAAGCAGAGUACCAAAUAUCUGAGAAAACAAAAAGAACACGAUGCUGAUAGGCGAUAGUUACAUCUUCACACUACACACGGUGGUCUGGCUUCUGGCAUCCUAUUCGAUCUCCAGAUGCAUUUCACCACGAAAGCCAAAAUAUUCUAACCUGGAAGAGAGAAAGAGCCCCACGAUCAAACCCACCACGAAAACGAGCGUUAGAUUGCAAGAAGCAGCGUUGCAUGCGCUUUAGGCGUUUGUCAUUGCCCCUCGGCAACAUCAACCGUUCCAUACAAUCUGAUUUUCCUCACCGUUUGUUAUGUCUGUUCCCUUUCUCUUUCGUAACACGCGAAAGGUGACCGUCAUUUCAUUAUCGUUAGGAAUAGAUGAGAAAUGCGGCCAGAGAGUGGUUUCGUGGCACGCACGAAGGGCCAUCGUCAUCGUGACUCACUCUCCAGAUCGAGUGUAAAGCAAGACACUGAGCUGAGACCAUUUUCCCAUCCUUCAAAUAAAGUUCUCCGGUUGAAUGGGUCACUUCUUCUGAGACACCUCCAAGUCCAACGCUAGGAUACAACUCGACACGACCUAAUUUCAGCUUAGGACGCACUUACCAGGUCUGCUUCUUUAGAGUAGUAAUUAAAAGCAGUAGGUGGAGAGAUGAAUCACAAGAGUCUACAGCGACGCGGACCUAACGUUCUCCCAUUGGCAGCCUAGUGCUAAUUAAACUGCCAAUGCAUUCUACUGUGGCAUGGCUUAGCUUUCACGUAGGUUUGGCGGUGAAUUGUUGUGGACGAAACAGAGUGUGGGGGGCCAGCAGGGCAGCAGGCAAAGCUAUGUGGAAGGCAUGGAUUGCUUCACGAUUUCGAGACGAGGCAUGGCCGGUCGUUGCAGCUGGGCAAGAGCUACAGGGAAUCAAUCACUAAUGUACAUAGUACGUGUGGUACUCUUCACACAUACAGGGCUGUCAUUUUCGGUGGGAUAUUGGACAGCCUUGCCGUGUUUUCUCAGGAGCAAUUGGUUGAGGUGUUACCAUCGGCCACGCGCGCUUGGACCGGUUACAAGGAACGUGUCCUUCGGAUCUCCUUUUGAAGAUGUCCUAUGCACCUAUAUUGAUCGAUAACAACUCACUAUGAUCGUGCCAUCCAAGCUUAUUGCUUUUCUUUCUAGCUAGUAGCUGCUUGUUCAUUUUCUGCAACAUGACAACCCAGGAAAAAUGUACGUGUUACUUAAUUCAACCACUGUUUAAACUUUCAAGACAUAGCUCUCCCGAAAAUAGAAACUUUUUAGAGUAAAUUUCACAGAACUACAUUUUUUGUGGCAGAUGUCUCACAAAACCACGGUUCUUUGUAGUCUUACAAAAUCACAACUUUUGGGGCAGCUGGUCUUAGAAAACCCUAAUCUUGAUAACGCGGGGCCACCAAUCAGAUGUCACGUCAUCUUUCCCGACCCGUUUUCGACGCCACGUCAGCUGACUUUGCUCUAGUGAAAGCUGGUGAUGUCUUGGGUCGGGUAGAAACCGACGUGGCGUCGAAAACGGACAUCGAAAACGUGUUGGGAAAGAUAACGUGGCAUCUGACUGGUGGCCCCGGGUUAUCAGAAACGUCACCAACCAGCUUAAUUAUCGAAAUUAGAGUUUUUUGAAACCGGCUGCCUCAAAAGUUGUGGUUUUGUGAAACUAUUACAAACAACCGUUGUUUUGUUAGACAGUUGCCACAAAAAACGUGGUUCCGUGAAAUUUACUCAACUUUCUAAGACACGGCUUAAACAAGGCCAUGAAUCGACCGCAAGGGACCAAAAAGGGUUGCGAGCCCUUCUUGCAAAUGAGUUCAAACUUAAGUGCGGAUCUAAUUGAUGGCAUGUAUUUUUCGUCUGACGUCUAGCUCUAAGUACCCAAGACCCAUCUAACUUCAAAUCUAUAUUAUCUUGCACCGCUCGUGGAGGAAAUUGCACAUUCCACCACCUAUGGGGGACGUUGCGCAAAACACCACUUUUACGAAUUUUUUGCAGAUUUCACCACAUAUUGGUCUAAUUAGAUGCAGAUAGGUUCUAAUAGCAUGUUAGACGAGUUAAUAACGUUUCUGACCUGUGGGCCCCGCAUGUCAGUGCCAACGUGUACCGAAUCCUUUGCCACGGUGGACCGGGUCAGGUUUGGAGCUAACUGGUUAAAAGAAAAUCACGUCUAAUUAGGUUCCAAAAUAUGGUAAAUCAGGUCGGGCCGGGGCUGACUCCACUGAAUCAGGCAUGAUUUCAUUUUAAUCGGUUGGCUCAGACCCGACCCGGUCCACCGUGGUAAGAGGCCCGGUCCACGUUGCACUAACAUGCGGGGCCCAUAGGUCAAAACGUGAUUAGCUCGCCUAACACACUAUUAAGACCUAUCUGCAACUUAUUAGGCCAAUAUGUGGUGAAAUCUGCAAAAAAUCCGUAGAAGUGAUGUUUUGCGCAACAAUGUCCCCAAUAGAUGGUGGAAUGUGCAAUUUUCCUCCCGCUCGUGCGGUGGUGGUCGCUUCCAUUAGACAUUAGUCUCACGCACGCACGCACGGUUGUGCCGUAUUAAUCUGACACCGACAUCUGCCCUUGUUUACUGCCUACUUCUCCCCCGAUGCUAUCGGUGACGGGCAGUAUUGGAGACGCGGGCACCGAAGGUGAGAAAACUAUUUUUUCUUUGAGAGAACUAGUGGCCGCGUCGGGGUCACGAAUGACGCCAACCUUCAAAAAGAAGGGAAAACUACCCGGUGCGGGUAGGACAGGGCUACGCAAUCUGCACGCCUGCGACAGCCCAGGCCGCCGGUCCAAAGCCCCUCGACACCACACAACGACGACUAGCGCCAGCUGCUGCUUGCUCCUAGUCGUGCGUAGUACGUACCAACGUCCAAUAAAAACAGCAAUUAUCUACCCGCCGGCCUCGCCUGGCAAAUCAGGACGCUGGCUUUUAUGCCGGUGGAGCGUGCGUGUCGGCCUGCGAUCGGCGUCGCGGACCACGCAAGCAAGCAGCGACAGAGAAAAACGGAUUAAAGAAGAAGCUAAUUAACAAGCGGCCAGGACAUCCCGUGGCCAUGUGGAGCAGCUGCAUCCGUCUCAUGCGCCCGGGUACAAAGAACCGAUCGAUCCACAAACCAGCAGUGCUUGCCGGUGGUUUUUACGCGGCUUUGGGUUAUAUCACACUGCUCCUUAAUUAUGGUAGUGCCGGUGCGUCGAUUGUUCGGCCAGGGCCUUGCCAUUUGUCAGUGGCCACCCACCAACAAGGCAACAAUGUCCCACCCACAACGAGCUAAUGCGAAGAGUUAGCCAGGCAGCUUUGGCAGUUGGCGGAUUCGGCGUGGCCGGCCGGUCGAGUCGGCACGCCGGCCGGGAGAGGGACACGACGCACGCCACCGCGUGAUGUAAAGUCUUCAGGGGAGGGAUUUUCCGAUCGAUAGAUAGAUAGAUGCCUUGCGGGGCCAUGCCGUUCACGGCGAGCGAGCACGCGUCACAUGCAAAAGGCGCCGCACGGCUCAUGGGGCUAGCUUGUCUCGACGUGGAGGUGCCAACGGCCGCCGGCGCAUCGUGCCAUGCCCCGCGCGUCCUCCGGGGCCAGGGAAUAUUGGCAUUUGGCAGGCUAUGCUGCCAAACGUAAUCCUCUCUCUCACACAUGUUACGUUUCUCCUGCGUCCAGCUGAAAAUGGGUAGCUGCCUGUAGCUACCUAACAUUCCUCAUCUUUUCUGCCCACAUGCCAAAUCCGAUCCAGACAACUUCUCUAAUACUAGGAACAAGUACACACUAGGGAAAUCUUAUUCUCGGUUAUACCCCCCUUGAUCUUCGACCCUUCAUCCAUCUGCUUUCUCUAAUCUGGACCUCUCUUUUUUUUUGUAAUACAGUACUAUUUUCGUGCAUAUCGUAUCCUCGCUGUUACUACUAUUAUCUAUACCAUCAGAAGUGGCGUAUCAUGUUAGCUGCAUCUCGACGUAUAUCUUUCCUUUUCCAAGCAUCAAUUAUGAGGAUACAUGCGCUCAUCAACUUAUCUAGCCAGCAUAACAUGGACGGCCGGUGAUCAGCAAUAGUUGACAUUAUAUAUACCCCUUUCUUUCCCUAUCCGACAAAUUCAGAUACGGAAGCAAUACUGACUACUGUGAUGUGCAAUGCAUGAACUCUGCCGUGUGGUCUUGGAAUCGGUCUUGAGCCCAAGAAGCAACAGCUGGUGAAAUUCCCUACGGUGGCAUUUUCUUAACGUUACUGCGAACCUGAACCGGUGGGCCACUAGCUAGCUAGCACCGAGCCACCGACGAUUCGAAUCGCAUUUGGCGGGUGUUGGGGGGAUUAACUCUUCGGAAUCCGACGGGACACGCCGGCGAUUGUUAAUGGCCUCCGUUGUAAAGAACCAUAUCCCAUCAUCAUGAUGGGUCGCAAUUAACUAGCGUUUGCGAUGAUGAUCUGAUGGGCUGUGUCCACGAUGCAUGGCUACAAUGGCUACGGAGCAGAGCUAGCAGAGUCUGUUGAAAGAAGAGAGGUAUAAGCCAGAGGAGACAAUCAUAGGCUUGUCAUCUGUGGGAGCAAUGACUGAAAGAGCAACCUGUCAUGUCGAUCCGUACAGACCUUCGCUGGCCAGUAGUAAUGUUCCCUGAAGCUAAAAGCCUGUACUGCCGAUGAGUUUGUUUGGUUUAAGCAACUCUGCUUUUUCUUUUGGUUACUCUAGUUUAAGUGCAGACAAAAAGGGAAAGAGGAAAAGAAGGUGUAGUAACGACUACUGCAUGCUCGAUGAUCAUGAUUCGCGGAGAGAGCACGGUUUGGCUUGGCUGUGGCACCAAAACCGCCGCAAAAUCGACCGGUCGAUCGCGCGGAGACGGAGCACACAAUUCGAUUCGGCAAUCACGAACAUGGCAAAAGCAGGGGCAACAAGAAAAGAAAAGGCAGAGAUUUGUUUUGGUGGACAUACCAGUACGGUGAUCCCUCGGAAGACGUCGAGCGAGACGAGCCGCUGCCGCGACGAUGCCGCCGGAGAGCCCUUCGGCGGCGAGGGGGAGCGCCGGCCGCCGGCCUCCAGAUCCGCGGCGGGGCCCGCGGAUUCGUCGCUCCGGACGAGCUCGUAGACCCCCAUCCCGCCCGCCGCGCUCUGCCUGCCGCACCGCCCGUCCGGUGGCGCCCCUGCAUUGGUCACAGCGCCCAUCACCUCCACUUUCCCCCCACCAAUGGCGAAAGCGAAACAAGCGAAAGGCUCGAAAGCAGCCGCAGCGGCAGGAGGAGAGCCCAGGGGGCGUAGCAACAAGCGUGUGACGAGAUGCGGCACGGAAGGCGCCCGCUCACCUGACAAGCACACACAACCACUUGCCUUCCUUCCCUUCCCUUCCCUUGAUCCCUUCUCCUCGAUCGCCUCGCGUGUUUUCGCUUCGUUCGUGCGCUCUCUGCUAGUAUCCCCCCGCGCGGCGAUCGUUUUUUCUUGUUACUUCGGCCCCGCGGGUGUAUAUAUAGGAAAAAAAAUCCUCACCUGCAACAGCGCGCCUUCUCUCCGUUCAGGGUUCCAUCUUUUUAUCGAGGGGUCUCUCUCUCAAGCCUCAACGCUCGCGUGAUCGUGUCGUGGAUCUCAUGCAAUGACGUGUCCACCUUCCGCGCGUCCCGCCUCGUCGCGUCGAUCACGUGCCGUUUCGAAUCGAGCGAUCGAUCCCCCGCCGGCCGUCGGAUUGAAGGGUGUUUGUGCGAAUCGGGGGCUGCCUUUUUCAGUUUUCAGUGGAAGUGGUGAUCGGCUGGCUUUAAAGGACUCUCUCUCCCGAUCGGGAUCGACAUCGGAUAAGAGAUGCUUCCGUAUCGGAAUACGGGCGAUCCUUAAGGUUACGGUGUAUAUUUGCUGUUGCGGUUUUGCUUUUUGGAUCGGAGUUGAGCUUUACUUUUGCUGCAAACAUGAGUUCGUUAGUCCUUAAUUGAUGGCACUCCAGCAACAGAUCCCACGACGCAAAAAAGGCAGGUAUGGGACCUUCAGACGAGAUCUAUCGGAAGGCGCGGCCGUUCGGCCAGUUGGGUUGGAACUUGGAACGGAACGGAUGAUGCCGACAGAGCAAGAUCCUUGGAGGAACACGCAAUCGCUUUUAUCACUUCGCGGCUGUUUCCAGCUCUUUUAGCGUUUCGUGGGCCUUCACAGCCUUGUGGCCUGUUGCGACUUUUUUUUUUUAGAAACGCGGCCUGUUGCAACUGUGCUGGGCAAUAGCUGAGUUGUCUGCUCCAGAGCCCAGAUCCAGACUGUUUUUUUUUUGCGAAGAGCCCAGAUCCAGAUGGGACUACGGUGAAGGUCUAUGUGGGCUGACCUGCUGGGCCGGCCUGCCUAUCAUUUUUUUUCCAAAGUUCACCCGAGUCAACUCAAACAACUUUGAUAGACCUGUUUUGCUCCGCUUAGAUUCAAGUGUGCACAUCUACUAUCUCUCGUGUUUCUAAAAAAAAAUCUACUCUCUAGUCCAUAUUACUUGUCACAGUUUUAUCCAGACAUGUAUGUAUGUAGACGCGUUUCAUUAUGUAGGUACAUGCAUAUCUAGAUAAAACUGUGACAAAUAUGGAUACUUACUUUGAUGACGAUUUUGCGGCACAAGAAAUUAUGUGAACAUACUCGGUUUAAUCAGUUGUGGGAUCGCAGGCACUCGGCGGCGAGUCCUCCGGAAGCGGCAGCUGGCAGUGAAAACUCGAGGAGAGGCGUGACCAAAAGGAGAAAGACUACGGUUACGUUGGUUGGGUUUUUCUCGUGUGAGAGACAUAAUCCUAGCAAGGUCAAGGGGGGAUAGGUUGCAUAAGGGGCGAAGCUAGGAUAAAUAAGAGUUGGUGUCAAGAGCUUACUUGCAGUGGUUUAUAACUAUUUUGGAUGGUGUCAAUUUUAGUUUCGUGCUAUAAGUAUAAGCAUUUGUAAUAUAUAAUAUCUAUAAAGUUGAUCCCCACUAUCUUCAUUAAAUGUUUGCAGGCUUGACAUGCAAGGUGUCCACAUUAGCAUCAACAUCAUGCGCAUCAUGAGCAUGUAAAUUGUCCACAUCACCAUCCACAUCAUGUGUUGUAGGCCAUUAGAAUCCAUUUUGGUGGUCAUUUCGAAUUAAAUAUUUUGAUAUCUAGGAUUUUCAUCUUCACGCUGUAUAUAAAUAUUUUAUCAAAUACACAUAUUUUCAUGAUAUGUAAAUCUUUCUAAGAUCUGCAAGUACACAUAUUUUGAUGUUCAUGCACAUCAAAAUUACUCCUAUAACUGUUAUGAACGAUAAAAAAUCGUUUUCUCCUACAACAUUCAUAUUUCUUUUGCAUUUAAUCAUAUUAUUAUCAUUUGUUCUUAAAAUUAUAUCCAGAUAUGCAUAUAAAACUUUCUGUAGCAAUGCGCGGGGAUCACCUAGUUUUCUCUAUGUGUUCUGCCACCUACUUUUUACAAUAUUUUGUCCUAAAAUCUUCGCACACAUGCUUCUUUGGUCCAAAAAGACAAGCUUUCGAAAUAGGUAGUGCCGUCCGUUCUAAUUUUCUUUUUCGAAAAGGAGGGAAUGGUCCCGACCUUUGCAUCUUUUGUAAUAAUGACUAGCACAAUUCAGAAACUCAUUGCUCUCAAGUGGAACGUUUAACUGAUGCACUUCCGAGUCGAUGGCUUUUUCAUUUAAAACUGUUGAUUAAACACAUGAUGAACAAGCUUUCGGCUCUUAAAUCCCUACUCGAGUCUAGGGCUCAAUUAGCCACUCGGGGGCUCCCCAUCGGGAUCCUCAACUUUGGUGUACCUGCUACGGCCCAACAGGAAGCCCGCUCGAUGGCCCACUACGGCCCGUGAAGUCCAAGUACCUUGGAUUACGGCUGAAGGUAAGAAAACCGACUUAGGGUUAUUUCUAGUUGUAACCGACCAGGACUCUGCCCAAAACCUAGGCUCUUAUAUAAAGGACUAGAAAGGGGAGCCGGAGAGGACACGCUACUCACGCAUACACAUCACGUCAGAUCCAAUCUGCGCACCACAACAUUCCAACGAUCUUGUAAUUAAUCAUCAAUGCAGGCUCAAACGAGCAUGAGUAGGUAUGUUAAAAACAUUUUCACUAUUGUCUUUGUUUCGAUGAGAUAUUCAAAAUCAGAUUCCAAUUGCCUAUGUUUUUGUUGACUUUUCCGUUGUGUUUCUACAUUUUUGUAAAGUUGGUAGUCAUUUUAUAAGAGAAGAAAAAUCAGAUUCAUGUUUUCUGUUAGUCCAAGUUGUGCGUAUCAGUUACCAUUAACUGUGUUCGUGGCUUUCUGUUAGAAGAGCAGCAAGAAGUGGGUUUCUAUGUAAUUUACUCAAAAUCUACUUCCGGCACCGGUAUACCGCCCGGACGCAUUUCCCGGUCUCACGCCGGAAACGUUACCAGCAGGGAGCACCGAUGGCACGCAGCGAUCCAGCCAUGCCGUUCUCAAGAACACGAAGUCCCGAACUACCGGCGCGCAACGCAAACCGACCACCCCCUCGUUCGGAUAAACCCGCGCCACGCGCGCGUCCCGACCGGAGAGUCAGAACACCAUUCCCCCGCCCUGCGGUGGAAUCGAAGCCAAAACGAUCCCUUUCUUCCCUCCGCAUCCGCCAUCCGCAUCGCCUCUCCGUCCGCGCGCGCCGCCGUGCCGGUUUCCCCACCCUCCCCUCCUUCCUUGCUUGCCGCCUCCACUUCCUCCUCUCCACGCUCUCCCUCCCCUCACUUGAUUCCUACCGGUAGCACACACCAACUAACCGCCGGACACUACUCUAUUCCGUCUCGUGCAACUUUUUAAGCCAGGUCGCGCACCUUACAGCGGGUGCGACUCCAUACUUUAAUCCAAGGAGAAGAACAAGUGUCCAAUCAUACGCCGAGACGGAGGAAGACGACGAUGAUGGAGGCGUGCUGCUGCUCCUCGUCGGUGCCGUCCGCGUCCAUCCUCGCCACGGGCGCGGGCCUCCGCCGCCGCUUCUCCCCCGCGGCGGCGGCGGCGGGCGGGAGGGUGCUCGCGCUCGCUCACCCGCUCCGCUCCUCCUCCGGAGCUCUGAUGGCGGCGACGCCUCGGCGGGGGCAGCAGCGGCGCGGGGGGGGCGCGGGCGUCGUCGUCAGGGCGGUCUUCGAGCGGUUCACCGAGCGGGCGGUGAAGGCGGUGGUGCUCUCGCAGCGGGAGGCGCGCGGGAUGGGGGACGAGGCGGUCGCGCCGCACCACCUGCUGCUGGGCCUCGUCGCCGAGGACCGGUCCGCGGCGGGGUUCCUCGCGUCGGGCGUCCGCAUCGAGCGCGCCCGUGAGGCGGGCCGCGCCGCCGUGGGGAAGGCCGGGCCCGCGCAAGCGGCCACGGGGCUGGCCACGGACGUGCCCUUCUCCGGGGCCAGCAAGCGCGUGUUCGUGGCGGCCGUCGAGUUCUCCAGGAACAUGGGGUGCAACUUCAUCUCCCCGGAGCACAUUGCCCUGGGCCUCUUCGACCUGGACGAUCCGACAACCAACAGCGUCCUCAAGAGGUUGGUGGCCGUGUUCUCCUGUUCCAUGUUUCCCCAAGAGCUCGCGUUUUGUUGGUUAAUGUCAGCUAAAAUAACAAUGCGUCAACUAUCUCGUGAUCGCCUAAGCAGCCAGCAACAUUUGAUCUUUUGAACCUGUUAAAAUAUGAACUAGUCACAGUUAACAAUUAGAGCCAACCAGCAGAAAGGCUCGUCGAAAAGAAAAUUUUAUGUGUACUACCCAAUGAAAUGGGAAUUCAAUAAAGUGAGCAUUAAAUGAAAUGCUGGCAUCUCACAUUUCUAAUUAGUUAUUCCAUCCGUUCCUAAAUGUAAGAAAUCCUAGCUUUGUUCUAAGUCAAACUUCUUAAACUUUGACCAAGUUUAUAGAAAAGUCUACCAACAUUUGUGACUCUAAAUUAGUUUUAUUAAAUCCAUCAUGGUAUAUGUUUUCAUAGUAUACUUAUUUGAUAUUCUAGAUGUUAAUACAUUUUUCUAUCAAAACUAGGACUUCUUACAUUUAGAAACAGAGUUAGUGCUAACUAAUUUAUGAUGUUCAUUGUAGCUUAGGAUUGGAUCCACGUCAGCUAGCAAAGCAGGCUCUUACACGAGUCCAAGGGGAGCUUGCGAAGGAUGGCAGAGAGCCUCUGGGACUAUCUUCUUUCAAAGUGCGUGAGAAAUCUACUGCUGGAAGUGGGAGGUCUCCAAUAGUCAGAUACUCGAAUAAAAAGAAAGGUCAGGAGUCAAGAAUGCUUUGUUGAUGUUUAUGCUAAUAUUCCUGAUGGCAUGGAGUGGAAAAAUUAGCUUCUUUUGUUUGUCAUUUCAGAGAAAAGUGCACUAGCUCAAUUUUGUGUAGAUUUGACCAUGCGAGCCAGUGGGGGAUUAAUUGAUCCUGUUAUUGGUCGCGAGAAGGAGAUUCAAAGAGUAGUUCAGAUUAUUUGUCGGCGAACAAAGAACAAUCCUAUUCUUUUGGGUGAAGCAGGUGUUGGUAAAACUGCCAUUGCUGAGGGGCUGGCUAUUAAAAUUGCAAAUGGAGAUGUUCCUAUUUUCCUUGUGGUGGGUUUCCAUGACCAGCGGCAGAUAAACAAUCAUGUUUCGUGUAACAUUUUAUUAGCGCAACAACAGUUAACACUAAUAUACAUUAUAUUGUAGGCAAAACGUGUACUGUCAUUGGAUGUAGCUCUACUGAUGGCUGGUGCGAGAGAGAGGGGUGAAUUGGAAGCCAGGGUUACUAGUUUAAUACGUGAAGUGCGCAAAGCAGGUUAUCUGAUUUGUACAGUAUGAAUGGAACAGAUAAAUUUCUAUUCUUGGUUUUUUAUCUUCCCAUAUCGCUACAAUUUCAUGCAGGUGAUGUUAUUCUCUUUAUUGAUGAGGUUCAUACUCUUAUUGGGUCUGGAGUUGCUGGAAGAGGAAAUAAGGGAUCUGGUCUUGAUAUUGCUAAUUUGCUGAAACCUGCACUUGCUCGAGGUGAAUUGCAGGUAUCAUUCUCACAAGAGGAACUCAUUUGUGGCUCAGUCUAUGCUGCCCAUCUUGGUACAGCAAAUAAGCAGUAACUUGUGCAUGGAUUAUAUCAUUUUAAUUACUAUCUGCAUUUAGGAUUUGUGCAUUCCCUUAUUUCUGUUUAAACAUCUAAUGAGGUGGAUGGUUUAGUUCCAAUUUCGAAACAGAUAAGAAAUACAGUACUGCAGGUCAGGUCAGGUCAGGUCAGGUACUCAGGUAGUCAGGUCAUACCCUGUGUUUGAUAUUUUAUAAGUAGCGUAGGAUGCAUUACAUACCACUAUUAUUGCAGAGUCUAUCUGUAAGUUUUUUAUUAAAAUAUGUAGAUCAGUUAUAGUUGCUUAUCCGAACAACUAUUGGUGCUGCUGGUACUAGAGUAUUAGAUUGAUGCUUUACUGCUGCACAUUCUCUUGAUGUUGUGCUUUGCAGUUUGUCACUUGAGUGACGUUCCUUUAUGUGAGCUUUUUGUGGUAAUUACCAGUCAUGAUCCUGUGGACCACAUGGGCCAUGUCUAUGCUGAGUAUUAAGUGGUUGCUUAUCCCAUGAUGUAAUGUAAUAUAGCAUCUCAUCUUUAUUUUACACAGUGCAUUGCAUCUACAACUCUGGAUGAACACCGUUUGCAUUUCGAGAAGGAUAAGGCUUUGGCCCGCCGAUUCCAGCCAGUAUAUGUGAAUGAGCCUAGUCAGGUAGCGCAGAAUUUCAUUUCUGAACUAGGACACUCUUCGGUGUCUGCUUCGUUUAAUGUUCCGUCAUGCUCUCUGCAGGAGGAUGCUGUAAAAAUAUUACUUGGUCUGCGUGAAAAAUAUGAGACUUAUCACAAAUGCAAAUAUACCUUAGAAGGCAUCAAUGCGGCAGUUUAUUUGUCAGCAAGAUAUAUCCCUGAUAGACAUCUUCCUGAUAAGGCUAUUGAUCUGAUUGAUGAAGCUGGUAGUAGAGCUCGGAUGGAAUCAUUUAAAAAGAAGAAGGAAGAGCAGUGCUCUAUCAUUUCGAAGUCACCAGAUGAAUAUUGGCAAGAGAUUAGAGCUGUCCAGGCCAUGCAUGAAGUGGUAAUAUAAGAUAAAUAUAACUGUUGCGAAGAUCUCUUUUCUUUGUCCAUCUGCUGGUAGAUGUUAAUUCAUUUCGGAACACAUCUCAGGCACUGACAAACAGGUUAAAAUAUUCUCUAAAUGAAAAUGACCAAGAGAAUGGUGUCGAUGUUGAAGUGCUAAGUGAUGGCAAGAUUAUGCCGGCUUCAAAACUGGCAGCUUCAGCUGAUGAGUAGGUUCUCUCGUUCACAUGGAGCAAUUUAUUUUGCAAUUUAAGCAUCAGAAUAUUUAAAACACGCUUAAUGAUGCAGACUAUCUAUGGUUGGAUCAGAGGAAAUUGCAAGAGUCACAUCAUUGUGGUCAGGCAUACCAGUCCAGCAGUUGACUGCAGAUGAAAGAAAGCUUCUAGUAGGACUAGAUGAUGAGCUCAGAAAGCGUGUCAUAGGUCAAGAUGAUGCUGUUGUGGCUAUAUCAAGAGCUGUAAAGAGAUCGCGUGUUGGCAUGAGUGAUCCUAACAGACCUAUUGCUACUCUACUUUUCUGUGGUCCAACAGGAGUUGGAAAGACUGAGUUAACAAAAGCUCUAGCAGCAAUUUAUUUUGGAUCUGUGGGUCAUUCUUUCCUGGUUAAAUCUGUCUAGUAUCAGCCCUUGACUUCAGAACAUGUUACAGGGAAUUUAUCUUAAAAAGUUGUUUGUUUUGUUUAACAGGAGUCAUCUAUGGUUAGAUUAGAUAUGAGUGAGUACAUGGAGCGGCAUGCUGUCAGCAAGCUCAUAGGCUCUCCUCCAGGGUACAUGGGAUUUGGUGAAGGUGGUACUUUGACAGAAGCAGUCAGGAGAAAACCAUUCACUGUAGUAUUGCUUGAUGAAAUAGAAAAAGCUCACCCUGAUAUCUUUAAUAUUCUUCUCCAAGUAUUUGAAGAUGGUCAUUUGACUGACUCACAGGUGCUAGAUCCUGUCAUUUCUGAUAUUCCUUUCUGCACUCCACAAUUUAAAUUUACAUUGCAUUUUAUUUCCCUCACAUGAUUUGUGAUAUCAUGCACCUAGAAAAUUAGGCUAACCUCUAAGAACCUUUUAACUAUGUGACGAAAUCGGGAGCGUGCUCCUUUUUCUUAUGUGAACUAUUUUUGCAAACUCAACAAGCUGAUUGUUCAUUGUUAUGUGUUACUCCGUAUGAUUUAUGCCCAAUCCCAUUGAUGAGGCACAAUCUGAUGUGCAUUAUUAAAUCUUUUAUGUGAAGAAUUUUUAGAAACCUGAGGACCCUGACUGCAUCUUAUUAAACUUAAACCAAGAUUCUCUUUUUGUACAGGGCCGUAGAGUUUCCUUCAAGAAUACGUUAAUUGUUAUGACAUCAAAUGUUGGUUCUGCAUCGAUUUCCAAGGGAAGGAUGAGCAUAGGUUUUCAGACACAAAAUGAUACAGAAGAAAACACAUAUAAUGUGAUGAAAUCUUUGGUAACAGAAGAGUUGAAGGCAUUUUUUCGGCCUGAAUUGCUCAAUAGAAUGGAUGAGGUAGUUGUGUUCCGUCCACUUGAGAAGACUCAGGUCUGUUGUUUACCUUAAUUCCUUAGUUUGUUGUUUUGUAUAUCCUAUCACUUCUGAAAACAGAAACUGCCAUUCCAUUUAUACUCAGUUGAUAGAUUUACAAUAUCUUGUAUGUCAGAUGUUUCUUUCCUUUUGUGGAGGAAUGAUGUGUUGUACUUUUUAGCAUUUAAUGAUGCACUGAUACUUCUGAAUAUUUUCCAGAUGCUGGCCAUUCUCAACAUAAUUUUGCAAGAGGUGAAGGGUAGGCUUUUAGCCCUCGGGAUCGGCUUACAAAUAUCUGAUGCAAUGAAGAACGUGAUUUCUCAGGAAGGAUACGACAAGAGCUACGGUGCGCGGCCGCUAAGAAGGGCCGUCACCCAGCUUGUUGAGGAUGCCAUCAGCGAAGGAAUUCUCUCUGGGCAGUACAAGCCCGGUGACACCAUAAUGAUGGAUGCUGAUGACAAGGGGAAACCUUGUUUGAGCCGGCUGAAUGACCAGACUGUUCAAAUGUCUGAUCGCACGCCAACUCUUUGAAGGCUCAAGCACCUGAUGUAUAGUAAAGCUUACUCCGUUAUUCUUUGCUACCAAUAACCUUCUUGAUUCUUUCACGUGUAGAUUCCGUAUUUCAUGUACAUAACCCCCAGACACUGGAGUUUCUCCCUGAAUAUACUGUAAAUUUAACUCUUUGGUGACCUGUACAUACUGCUGCGCUACUAACAUAUGUAUAUUCUUUACGUCAGAUGGUGGAAUAUACACACUCUUCUUUUUAAGGUGGAUAUACACAUUCUGAAACAGUGAAAACUUCGUAUCCUUCUGAACACCUACUGAGUUUUGCCCGGAUAUAUUCUGAAUUGCCCAUACAGUUGAUUUCUGCUGUGAACUUUCUAAAUAAUUAUUGAACUUAACCAAUGCGUAGAGCGAGUAUUCUGAAGAAAUAUUUUUGCGUUAACAAGAGCAAACAGUAGAUCGACUGAAAUAUCUAUGCACAUCGACGCAUCUAACGAACCUUCCUAAAGGUGCUGUUUGGGAUAUUGGUAUUUAUUUGGUAAAGUUUAGGUAUAUUUAGUUCAACUUUAAAAAAUAUACUUUUCCCAAGCAGGCCCUAAGUGAGGUAUCAUAGAAUACUAACAACGAGCAUAUACACAUUUGAAUUGAGUGUCUCAUACCUUUGAUAUUCCGACGUAAGAAGUACUUCCUGCGAUUCAUAUUACUUGCAAUUUUGUUUACAGAUCUAGUCAAAGUUACACAAGUAAUAUGAAUCGGAUUGAGUUCAAACGCUGUCCUAAAUCAAAGUUCUCCAUAAACGCUAUAAGAAAUUUGAUUCAGUUCUACAUGUUCAUUAAUUUAAAUUUUUCAUCGCUAUGUGGACGCCAAGCUGGAAUAGCUCAGUUGGUUAGAGCGUGUGGCUGUUAACCACAAGGUCGGAGGUUCAAGCCCUCCUUCUAGCGUCUUUAUUUUUAUUUAUUUUCCUAAGGAUUAUCCAUGUUUUAAAAUUGAAAGCCUCUUACGGAGGGGCGCGGGAUGAGCUUUUGUGCCAAAAGCCUGCCUGCCUAUCUCUGAAAUUAUUCUGGUAACGAUGGUUCUAACCAGCGAGGGUAUUCUCGCUGUUCCUAUAGUACAAGCUACAAGGUGUAAAAGACAACGUACUAUAUUAAGAUUAGGGGAUUAUCCAUGUUUCAAAAAUGAAAGCCUCGUAUGGAGGGUGGUGGGAUGAGCUUUUGUGCCAAAAGCCUGUCUAUCUCUGAUAUUAUCCUGGUAACGAUGGUUCUAAGUUCUACGUCAGUGAGUCGACGGUAUUCUCGCUGUUCCAAGAUACUACAAGGGGUAAAAGACAACGUAUUAACAUAAGUAUUGUCUUAUGAUUAUAAUUUUGUAUCACAUAUUAAUAACAUAAAUGUUGGUUAGAGACAUGCCUUAGCGAAACAAAAUACAUCUCAUACUCUUUUUCUCGGUCAAAUUUUGUACUUCCUCCAUCCAACAAAUGAUGUCUCAACUUUAACAAAAUUUGAAUACAUCUAUACACUAAGUCAUGUAUACAUUCAAACUUGAGACAUCUUUUGUUGAACGGAGGAAGUAUAAAACUUGGUGGUACCGUAGACACAGUGUAGAAAGAAUUUUAGUUAUGAAAAUCUGAUUGCUGCUGGAUGGAGAUCUGGCAAAACGAACCACUCCGCACCAUCUGACCCCCUCGGGUAAGUGGCAGUAGACACUUGGGAGAAGAAUGACAAGGUUGGAUUGGAGCUAGGACAAAGCGAGAGGGGCAACAGUCGAGAGGAAGAAGGCGGGUGGGAGAGGCAGAUGGAGAUUGAAACUUCGUGUGUAAUUCAUGUUGGCAACUAUUUAAGGGUGCUACUGUGCAUACAGAUCACUAUAGACUAGUAAUAAGUUCUGAAAAACGAGUUCGUAUCCUAACAUUGAUUUAUAAUGUCAUAGCUUAUCCUUGCUCAACCUACACCAUUUAUCUCUACUUUAUAUUCCCUAGAAAAACAGUACUACCUCCGUUCCAUAAUUCUUGUCGAAAUCUUACAUGUAUCUAGACACUUUUUAGAAACAGAUACAUCCAUUUUGGAGCAAAUUUGAGACAAGAAUUAUGAAACAGAGGAAGUACUAGUUAUAAGCUUUACGGAUCUCCUUUUUCAAAAAAUAAGCUUUACCAAAGUAUAAAAAGCCAGUAACCAAUUAGAGCAUGGAAAUGUGAGAUUUGCAACUAGUACUGUUUAUUAAUUUGAGAUAAAUGAUAUGUAUUGAGCAAUGUUAGACCUAUAUUUCUCAUGGGUGCUCUACAUAGCUCUUGCAGCUAUUCCUAUGCAAAACUAUGGCUAUUCUUUAUGUUGAAGUGUACAAGCCUGCAACACCAUACUGAUGUACACUGAUGGUAUAAGCACAGAAGAGAACAUAACUACCAUAGCUAGCAGCAGCUCGCACUAACUCAGAGUGAAAUCGUCCAUCUUGAAUUGCCCAAAUGACUCGGAAUAAGAUUCACGUGUUCUUGAGAACAAUCUCUGCCGUAACACAUAGUUCAACUCAAACUUCAGAACAGAUCAACACAUGUAAUUUAAUCAGUCUAACGACUACAAAACAUAUACUAGUUAUCUUUUAAAAUCAUACUGCUGCCUAAGAAGCUCAUCAUUGAUUCGACUUCCAAGAACAUAAUUUAUGCAACUUGAGAAAACAAAAACGGUGCUAACAGGCAGUGGCAAUCACUUCAAUUUUAUUUCGUCAAGCCAGGUUCUCUGCAAAUGGCCAAAUAGCUUAUUAGAUCAAGGAAACAUGCUAGAAACUAGAAACUUAUGCGAUCAUUUCAAACCUUUUAAUGUGAUCAAGGAUGACAAGUCUUGGACCAGGGGGGAUAUUCACAUCUCUGAGUGCACUAGAAGAUAAGGCCAAGACAUAUGUAAUGUUUCGUCAAUUAUAUAGCCAAAUUUAGUAAGCAAGUGGCCAUUUUUAAAAGAUUUUUUCCUCUUCGUAGUCGCAGAAAUUCAAUUUAAUAUAGAAACAUGUACCUGUCAUUGAGGAGAGGCAAUGUUUCAUCAGUCAGAAGACCCUUCUUGAAAUUCUUUUCAUAGUUCUGAAGACCUAAUUGGUUCAACAUAUUUCUUCCACGAGAAUAGUUCAUAUCCUCAUUCUGUCCCUUUGGCUUUGAGAACUUCUGCCCAACCUACAAUCGAGAUAGAUACCAUAAAAACUAGAAAUCACAGCAUGAAAGCAUGUAGACUUAGUGGCACCUCACCAACACAUUCGGUAAUAAAAUCUAGAGGUUUAAUUCAAGUGGAAUAAAAUGACUUUCAUCUGUAGGAAAUAAGUCCAACUUAUUACCAUGAAAAAGCCACCUUGAAAUACUGCAAAAGCCAUACCAGUUGUAAUUGCAUUAACAACUGGAUUUGGUGUUCCCAUUCCGCUCACAAUGGAGAAUAGAGCACCAGAACCAAAAGCUGCUGCCAUGCUAUACAAAAGAAAGCUCAUCAACCAUGUAGGUGAGAAAACUUAUAGCAAAAUAUGUUCGUAUUGUUAACAAUCAGCCCCCUAAAUUUGUAAAGCCUUUCAUGGUUAACUGAAGAGAAGAUGAAGGGUGUGAUUCCACUUUGUGUUUUCCUUGUACAAAGUUUACUAUUCGCUCAAGUCAUAAGUAUACCAAGUUUAUCUUUGCAAUUGUUGUUAUAUUUCUGUUUAUAGCUCAGCAAAUAAUUAUGAGCAUAUUCAAGCAACCAUAUGAAACCCAUAAUGUAGAGAAGAAUUAAGAACUAGCUAACAUGUCACAAUUAUCACACCCUGUCUUAUUUAUCAGUGCACAGGUGACCAAUAAAUCUAGAAACUCCGCAUACAACAUUUUCAUUAGCAAAGAAUAUUUACAGGCCAUACAUAGUUGUAGGAGCUUACACUACAUUAAUGCAUUACCUUUACUACUGAAAAGAAUCGAGUGGGUGGUGGUUAUGAUAUGUUCUCUUUGCCUUUUACCAAAAAAAAGGAGAGUAAAUUUCCCAGUAGUGUUGCAAUUGUAUUGGUAUUUUAUCUUAUGUAUUGUGAUUCCGUUGCAAUACAGGGGCAUUUAAUUCAUAACUUUGAAGUAACACUACCAGAUAAUGAUUUUGCAUAGAUAUAAUUUAACUGUUUGACCUUUUAAGCGAUUCUUUUUUCAAGAUUACAUGAGCUGUGUGGGGUUUAUGACUAGUUUUUUUUAAAUGGCUUACAUAACAUCAUGUUUUUUUAAACCGCUCCAUUACAUUCCACUUUGUUCUCAGAACCAAACACAGCCUUAGGAAAUGUAAAUUGGUUAUAUCCUAGCCAGCUGAUAAGCAAUUCACGAGUGGCUACGGGAAGGAAAACAUCUUAUGUGAACAGAAUAAGCUCAGCUGUUCUGCGUGAUGUGUUGGAUCUCUGUUUAGUUGCAGACAUUUACAUAACUACAAACAAGAACUUAUGAAUGAUUACCUGCCCUGGACAUCCUCCACUCCUCUUAUCCUUCUCAUAACACAAGAUAUGCCUGCGUUUGCACCAGUCAUAACUGCAAAAUUUCGAGCUUGCACCAAUGGCCCUCCUGCCAAAGCCUAUAAUAAUAAAAAGAAACUAUUUAAUCUGACGGCUUAGAGGAUUAUUAGAUUUAGAUGAACCAUGAUAACGUUGUACGUAUUAGCACAAUGCAAUCGUUGGGCAACAAUAUUCUUAGUUCCUGCAUGCCAGACAGCCUUAAGGCAUAAGGAUCAAAAAGACUUUGCUGCACUAAAAUCAAAGGAAGAGUGAUUGCUUUAAAAGACGAAAAAGGAAAAGCCAUCACAUGAGAAUAAAAAGCAGAUAUCUUGAUUUGCUCUUUGAUAAAGUUCGGUUGAUUCAAAAAGAUAAAGCAACUAAUCUAAGUCUGAAGUAAGAACAAACAACCUUCACGAUGUCGAUGAUCUACUGUUUAUGGGCAAGCGCUAAAUUGCUUUGCAUACUAAACAUAUAUCCCAGGAAAUUAGCAACAAAAAAUUGAGGGUCUCCGUGUAAAUCUGUAACGACGGGAGGACUAAGAGGAUACCUGCGCUUGCUUGAAGGUGGCCAUGGCGUUCGGGUCGACCCCGGGCGGCGGCUGAGGCACGGGCAACCCCGCUCCUCCGUCCGGCGCGAACGUACCCAUCAGCCCUCCGAGCGCGCCGCCCUGCACGGCACCGAACGCCGUGGUGACGGCGGCCUCGAUAUGCGUGGGCUGCUUGGCCAUCCAGGCGCGCACCUCCGCCUCCAGCGACUUGACGCGGUCGCCCAGCUCGGCCAGCGGGUUGGCUCCGCCCCGCGACACCGCGGUCGACGAGGAGGCCAUCACCACCAGCGGCCGCUUCUUCUGCCCAAUCCCUUCCAUCUCGAAGCUCCCCGCCGCUCCGGUGCUUCGAAAUGCUUAGGGGAGAAGAGGGGGAGGAAGGGAGAAUGGAGAUAGCUUGCGCUUCGGUCGCUUGUUUAUCCCCUUCCCUUGGGUGCUCCGUUAAUAAGGUUGCUGACCCCCUCGGCGUCGCCUAAUAUUUCUCUCGAGCUGUUCCAGGGUUUCCACCAAAUCCCAAAACUCUCGUGGAUGACAUGGGCCGGUUAUUCUGGGCCGGCGCCUCGUGGAGAUCAAUAUUUUGUUGUUUUUUUUAACUGGGGAAUGGGGAUACUCUAAAAAAAAAACUGGGGAAUGGGGAUCGAUGUUCACACGGCUCGUUUGGCUAUCAUCUGCUCAUCAUCUGUGCUGGAAUACUGAUAUUCAUUUUUUUAGCGUUACUGAUAUUCGUUUUAGAUUUUAAAAAAUCAACUCGUUUGGAUGGCAUAGAAUUCUCAAAGUUUAUAAAAUCACAUCUAUGCCCAAUCACAAUUCCUCUCUAAAGGCAUACCUUUUUGAAAUUGCCUCACAUUGUACAAAUCCAUAUGUUAAGCAAACAUGACUUUUGAAUUCAGAAUUCAACCAAAUGAGAUCUUAUAAAAAAAAUUAUUUCAUUUCAUUUGGCUACCAAACGUCAUAAGUAUGAGUAACACCUCCUGGUGUGCUGGUGGAGUUGUGGGUGCAUGACUCCACCCACCAGGGUUUAAAUCCCGCUGCUUACUUUAGAGGUUUCCUCUACAGUCUUUCCCUAAAAAAACAUCGUAAGUAUAUUUUCAAAUAUGAAAUCUCCCAUAUUUCGUGGUUUUCUUCCAUGAGAUCCACCCAAAUGAGAAUAAGUGCGAUCCUGAUAGCGAGUUCUCCUAAAAAUAUAGAGAUGCAAUCGUACUCGAGUACAAUCUCCGAUGGGGGCAUUGCAAGGCCGGCAAAAUAUGAAAACCAUUUUUCAUGCCGAAUCAACAAAUUAAUUUGGCAAGCUAGAAUCAGCAUGAUGAUCAACCUUGCAUAUUUACUAGAUGAUUGAUGAUGUUGAAGCCAUGGGAGUCCACGUGCCGGGGUAGAUGGGAAUAUAAGAACACGAACAACAGUUCGGUAACAUCUCGUCGGUAGUGUGUUAGUCAUAAUUGAUGGGUCACCGGUACGUAAGAGAUACGUUAUGACUAACAGGUUAGGCAACCAUAAGCCUAUAGUAAAGUCACUUUUGGGGUGAGCUCUGAAGCCUGUUGUAGUAGUCACUACUAACAGGACACAUCAAAGAGCCCCCAACAAAGAAAGUUAUCCCGUAACAGGUUGUAGUAGGCCGUUCGUCAGCAGUGACUAUCUCGAUUGACGGGCCCUUUUGUUUCGACCUGUAGACGGUGACAUAUAUAUUAGAUUUGGCAUGAAAAAUGUCAGCAUUAUGGGACUUGCUCGGCCGUGCCUCCAAGUGGUGGCAUGCUUCCUACUAGGCUGCAGCUGCUAGGAGUUCAUGAACAGUCCAUUGCCACUGCAGCCCCCACACAUAUUACACAUUUGUUUCAUUACAUAUACACAUCACACAUUCAUCCAUGAUAUAAACAAAAUUACCUUUGUGCAAUGAUUUUUCGAAGAAUCAGCAGUAACAUAUCCUUUAGGUCUCAUAGACAUUUCAUUUGUGGUAAUUUAGUUCAUUAACUACAUAAAGAAAAGCAUAGGUUAUGCCCAGCAACUACGUAAAGAUCGAGUACACAAGUCAUACCGUGAGAACUUCUCAAAACUAUUCUUAAAAAACAACUUCUCACAACUACAUAAAGAAAACACAUGUUAUACCGUAAGACCAAAUAAGUAAUCAAGUUAUUAUAGAUUUCUACAAGCUGAUAUAAGACAAUAACAGUGGCUUUCGCAGGAAUCCAUCGGUGCUAGAAGUUUUAUGAUGCCCCGCCGUGGAAUGUAGCUUAUGGUCGCAACACAUCAUCAUUCAACAACAGUGGGUUUCAAAAGAGAUUGAUCCUUCAACGCCACAAGUUUCAUUCAACAUCAUUUGUCUAAUGCGGUGUUGUCUUCAAGUUAUCAUAUUCCAAGAAGUAGAGUUGUUGUUGGGAUCACUUGCAGUUUUAAGGGUGUUGAAGUGAUGGACAAAAUCUCACGCACAAAUAGAACCCACAUGUCAUCGACCGAAUGGGUUGUUGUAUAAAAGGAAAUUGAAGGGGACCGGUUUGGUGGAUAUAUCCCUUGUUGCAAUAGGCCUUUCAUUCCGAGGUUCUAAAUUAGAAGAAAGCUUCUUCGACUAGCUAUUUGAUAUUAUUGAAAUCUCGUUUGCUAUUGCCUUUCUUAAUCCCGUUGCAACAGCGGACCAAAGCAAAAAAAUAAAAAUGAAAAUAAAAUUGUUUCAAGCCGUGGAGAUAACAGUCGCUUUGUCUUAAGAACGUUGUCGUAUACAUGUCCCCCUGUUUUAAUGCCCGAGAUAGCAUGUGUCAUGGCGAUAGAUGAAGGAGCUGACCUCACACGUGCAUACAUGAUUUCCUCACGAAAAGCAACAACAAGGACGUUGAAACAGAAACGUGCGUGAACCCGGGAACCAAUCACGGCAGAACGUACAACUCCAGCUAGCUAGUACUACCUCUGCGUGAUCGAUCGGUUUCCAGGCACGUACGAGACGCAUAUCAGUCCUUGAAGAUGCCGAAGGCCGGGGUGGAGACGGAGAUGCCGCCGUCGAUGAGCAGGUUGUGGCCGCUGACGUACCGCGCGUCGUCGCUGGCGAGGAAGAGCACCGCGGCGGCGAUGUCCUUCACCCUUAAGCCCACGCCCUUGAGGUUCGCCAGGGACUCCAUGACCAGCUCGAACGCCUCGCCGUCCAGGCCCACGUAGCCCGUGGCCAGCGGCGUGGCGGCCGCCGCGGGGGAGACGCAGUUGACGCGGAUCCCGUGGCGGCCCAGCUCCGCCGCCGCGUUCUCCGUCAGGCCCACCAGGGCCCGCUUGGCGCACGUGUAGGCGUGCGACGCCACGCCGCCCAUGGCGGACGCCAGGCUCGACGUCCCGAUGAUGCACCCGCCGCGGCCCGCGGGCACCAUGACCCGGGCCGCGUGCUUCGUGCCCAGGAAGGGGCCGACCAGGUUCACCGACAGCACACGCUCGAAGUCCUCCUUGGUGCUCUCCCGGAUGCUGUGGCACGCCGCGCCGCCGAUGCCCGCGUUGUUGAACAUGAUGUCCAGCUUCCCGAACCUGGCCACGGCGUGGUCCACGGCCGCGGCCACGUCCGGCUCGCUCGUCACGUCGCACCGAAUGUAGCUGGACGCCGCCUCGCCCAGCUCCGCGCAGAGGCGAGCCCCGGCCUCGUCCUGGAUGUCGGCCACCACCACGCUGGCGCCGUGCUGCACGAACAGCCGCGCCGUGCACUCGCCGAUGCCGCUCGCGCCGCCCGUGAUCAGCGCCACCUUGCCCUCCAGCCUGCAACAUACUCUCACAUGACAAAUUAACCAAGAUUGCCAAGUAGUUCGACACGCGGUACGAAAGUAACGGAACGAAAUACGCUUACUUCUUUGCAGCGGCGGCAGAAGCGUCGGAGCUGCUUGCCAUGGCUACCUUCAAAGAAGAUUUUCUCCUAUGUUCUGCCGUGAGAUAAGUGCUCGUGACUUAGUUCAGUUCUAGCUCGUGUGUAGUCUGAGAACUUUAUACUAGUAGUACGGUAUAGCUGCUAAUCCACUGAUCGAGUACCUAGGAAGUUUACCUUUCAAGUCGUAUAUUUCGUAAUUAAAAUACGUAGUAUUAGCUAGUAGAUGGGCAUCUCCAGGUUUCAAGAUUCGUCCCAUGGAAUCGGCAGGGCGCCUUGGACGUACGCUUCGAAGUGGCAGUAGGUGCGGUAACGACAACGGUGGCCGGCCUGCCGUACGUAGGUACGCCCGCCGUCGUUUUCUCCUAUGCCUGGCGACGGCGUUACGUACGAUCAGGUCAGAGUAAAACGGAUAUACAGAUGCAUGCGAAUUGGCUUGUGCGUGCGUGCGCAAUUGGCCAUUGGCCGACGCCCGUCGAAAGAUAGUUUUUUUAAACCGUUUUGCUAUACAACAUGCGUCUGGUUUUUUCUGAAAUUCCAGUCGAUUUCUAGGCCGUCGAUUAGUGCGUCAAGAUUCGAGUCAAAUUUCAGUUCGGUCCCUUUUUUCUCUUGGCUCGGGGACAGGUUUUUGUCCUCUCCGCUUCCUCUGCUUUCUGACGACGGAGUUUCCUGGAGGGCGAGAGGAAGAGGGGAAUGGUGAAUCUGAGGCGACGUUUUGCUCGAUGCUUGCGGAGCUCUUUCGCGCCGCCUAUUCCGGUGAUUUCCCGGCGUUUCUACCCCUCGCCGACCAUGUUUCUGUGGCUCGGUAGCUCGCUGAAUUUUUUGGGUCUUAUCGGUGGCUCGGCUGUGGCGGAGACGGCAGAGGCGAGGUGGGUGGUUCUAUCAUUUUGCUUCGUCGGCGGUGAGGUCUAGCCGGCUGACCGGUGAGUUUGCUCCUUCUAUUUCACUCGUUCGGUUCGUUUUGCUCUCUGGUGAUUUGGAAUGGAUGAUUUGCUCCCCCUUUUGGUGGCUCGGAACGGACUUGGCGAUGCGAUGUUCCGUGCUUGUCGGCGACGACGUCUGCUCGUGCCAGUCAAGGGGGCGGGGUGAGGUGGAGAGCUGAUUUUCCCGUCGUUGCCGGCGGUGGAGAUUUGCUCGCCGGAAAACCGCUGUGAGCUUCCCCCUUCUCACUCGUUCCUCUCUAAUGGCUUUUAGCUGUUCUCUGUCUUGCGUUUCGCCGUUGAGGGGGGGGGGGGCUGGAUUUGGUGAGGAUAAGAAAGUACAGGAGAGGCGAGGGUUCCGUGCUCGGCGACGGUGUUGCUUGCGGUCAGUUGUUGCCGUUGUUUUUACCCGGGAGAGUGGAGAGGUGGAGUGGCCAUUCGCUGCUUGUGAGUGGAUUUGUGAGGUGAACUCAGUACACAGGAGGCGUUUUUGCUGCUUGUGUGCUCGUCACCGGCGAGGUUUUGGUCUGGGGUUGGGGCGGCGCUCCUUUUGAACUUUUGCUGUUGUUUUACCGCUGAUUUUUGCUCUCCCUGUCGGUGAUCUGUGUAGGUAAAGACUAGAUGCUCAUUAAUUAGAACGGAAUUUGCAUCUAUUUUCGUCAUCGACGGCUUAGGAGGGUCACCACCUCGCAGUAAGCGCGGUGCUAAUUACGUCUCCAUUUAUCUGGGCUGUUGUAUCUUCCUCUGUUCUGGUUUAUUUGGUCCCAUCAGCAAGAACGGAACAGCAGGUAUCUGCAGUAUGACAAAGCGUCUUUGGUGAUUUUCAUCCCCAUGGUUUUGAUGCCAACAGUGAUAGUGUCUUUUGUGAAUGUGAUUGUUGCCUGGAUGCAGUAGGGUGUAGGUGGGGUUUGAUAUUCAGUUCAGUUUAAUAUGGUUAUGUGUUCCUGUUACCUGGACUUGUAUUGUCUGAAGCAUGGUUUGACAGUCAUAUCAUGUGCUUUGAUAGAAGUGUUAUGCCCUUUACCCCAAGGGCAAAGUUUGAUGAGUUCUUCUUUUUCUCAGUUUGAUCUGUAAUUUUUGGGCCACAUCUUUUGUGUUGGCUUUUUUAUUUUCCUUUCACUUAUUUUCAAUGCUGCAAUUCCAGUAUCCCCUAAUAGCAAUUGCAGCUUAUUACCAAUUCUGUGAAGAUAUGGUCAUUGGACCGAAGUAGGAGCCCAUAAGAAUCUCAGAGUUCAAGCCCUGUGCAGAAAAUAGCCCAUUAGUGAAUUUGGAGCGUUUUGGGACAUUGCUUGAAUGGUCUUCGGGAAAGUGUCUGGAAUUUUCCCCAAUUCCAUUCGAUUUGAACUAGGACAAAUCUGGGCCAUCGGAUGAUUUUUGCACCUUGUAUAUGUUCAAACGAUAGUUCUCUUUUACAAUUUCAAGUCGUAGAGAAUUUUGUUGAAAUUGCAAUAAAUUUGUAUGGGCUUCGCACCCUGUAGCUGUACAAAUUAAUCGCGUCUCUUUUUAAUUUUUUCAUUUGAAGGGGAUAUUAGUUGAAAUUGCAUCCAAAUUAUAUGGUUUUUGCACCCCGUAGCUGUGCAAAUUGCAGCUAUGCAUUUCCAAUCUUAUUUUUUGCAAAGCUUUUUUUAGAAAUGCAUCUGCAAUCUUGGGUGGUUUUUAUCCUUUAAAUUUUAUUUCUGGUUUUAGCUCGCAAGUUCUGGUGGUUGCCGGCCACUCGCAGGUAAGGAUCAUGCACUCUUAUGCAGGUAGCGGGCCACUCAUUAUAGGGCUGCUUCUCAAUUUUUGUGCUUCUUAAUUACUUAAUUCAAUCUAUUUUUGCUGUGUUCAAAGGGCUGUUAAAAUCACAGAGAUGCCCCCACCUACUCACAUUUUCCCCUGCUGCUUAUCUUCCAGGUUUGAUGCCGAUUCCCCCUCUUCUUGUUUUGCCCUUUUUCCCCAGCCCUACUUUCUUUUUGAUUCACCAUUCCCCUUCCCCCCUUUUUGAACUUGUCACGAGCUACUACAUGAGUUAGCUAGCAGCUAGCAUUUGGCAUUUUUUAGGCUGUUCAUUUGAAUUUUGUUUUCUGUUCUUUGUGAUUGGAUCUGUAAGUUUUUGUCUGUGUCAUCUAGAUCUGUAUUUCACAUAUUGGUUUGGCUCACAUAUAUGUGAGUGUGCCAUUUAGGUUUUGUUACAGAUAAUUCUAAGUAAACCUUACGCAUUUUUUUGAAGCUUUUGCUGGCGCAUUACAGAUAGUUGCAGCUUCUAUAAUAUCAAAUUCAAAUUCAAAUUCAAAAUGCAUUGAAGAUUUUUGUGUUGCAACUAUAUCCUUUUAAUUAUGAAUUUCAUUGCACUUUUCUUUACAGUGCAAUCUAAAUUAUAAACAGGUGUAGCUGCAUCAUGGGUUUAAAUCCAUUGCAUAAAAUCUAUAUGGAUUUUGUAACUAUAGCUUCCAAAUUUGCAGUUCUUGCAAAUGCAAUUUCUGCUAAUUUAAUUGGAUUGCAUUUCAUACCUGCAGCUAUCCAGAUUUUACACUCCAGCUUUGAAAUCGCACCUGUAGCUAUCCAGAUCGUGAAGUCCAGAUUGGAGGCCUUUUUCAUGCCCAUUUUGCAAUCAUAUUGUAUUGUUUGAGAAUUAGUGGGUGGACUCAUGAAUAGCCCCAGCCCAAUCCUGAAUAGACCCAGGUACACAUUUUUUGCCCUGUCGUGUUACCUUUUUCUUGCACGUACAAAUGAAUUCUAAACAAAUUCUGUAGUGGCUUUUUUGAGCCAUUUCCUGCACCUUGUUCAGUUAGUUAUGGGUAACUUACUGCAUGUAGCACACACUAUGCGCAAUUCAAUGUCUUAUAUAUGAGAUGCAUUUGCAUUUGUUUGUCUACUGUUAAUGAUAGGUACAAAGUGCAAUUCUCCAGAUUUUAAUUAUCACAAUGCUUGUCCCAUUCUGAUCUUUUUUUCUCAAUUGCACUUAAUUCACUAUGCGCAAUCGGAUGUCAUACAAAAUGCAAUUGCAUCUAUCCCUGAUAUAGCAAACCUGUAAUUUGGCGUUCGCUUUUUUGUCGAUUCCUUGUUCUUGUCGAGAGGAUGGAAGCUUUUUUUGGAUUCUUUUGUCUGAAUUUGUCCUAGUAUCAAAUUGCAAAAAUCUGUAGAUCAAGGCACUUUGAGUUCAUUCCAUGGUUUUUGUCACCCAGCUAGGCUAGUGUUGUUUUUAUCUGGCAUGCGGGGGGCAAUAUCUAUAGGGUAUGAUGGUUAGAUGGUUCUUGUUAUGCUGGCUAAAAAGUUUCGCAAGGGAAGCUAGAGCCCCACUUGAAUCACUAAUAAAAAGGUACACUUUUUUUGACCUGUUGUGUAUGCUUUUUAUAAACAUUUUUGUUCACAGCAAGAUCAAUUGCAUGUAGUUUAUUUUGCGCAGUCUGGCACAUAAUUAGAUGCAAUUGCAGCAGCUCCUUUCUUGAAUUGCAUCCCCAUAUUUUUGGGAUACUUUUGUCCCUUUUUUUGGUCUGCGCAACCUGGUACUCAAUCUGGUCCCAUUCUUUGUUUGUAAAUACUGAAUAUCAAGUGCACUUUGAAGGUUUUAAUCAACACAAAAAAUUGCCUAUUCUGAUCAUUUUUAAUUGAACGUAGUUCAUUGCACUAGUUCACCAUGCGCAAUCGGUUGUCAUACGAAACGCAAUUGCAUUUGUAUUUGACUGGAAUUGCAAACCUGUAAGUUGGCAUCCCUUUUUCCUGUCAUUUCUUUGUUCUUUUCCAGAGGAUGGAAGCUUUUUUGAGUUCUUUUUUGUCUUAAUUUGUCACUGAGUAGUCACAGUGUGUCUUAUCCAAAGAGCAUAAAUCUGGUUAUGGGUCGAUCAGGCCACUGUUCUGUGCUAGUGUUUUCAUUUCUUUAUGUGCCUAGUUUGCAUCAAACUAUCAGGCGACUGUUUUCUUCUGUUUUUCUAGGCGCCUGGUUUCUUCCAUCCUGUUGGGGUCACAAAGCAGGCGCCUGUUUUGGUAUCCAAAAACAGGCGCCUGUUGUAUAGACAGACCCCUGCUUUGACAAGCUUUGCCCGGCGCCGGUGGCCCGUGUUUGGGUCGUUCAAAUGCUUGUUGCGGCCGCAUUCAAAGACCUAUUUAUAACUUUUAUUACUUUCAAGACUCGUUGUAUGAUAAUAGAUGAUCGGACCUUUAUGUAAAAAGAGGUUACGGGCUCCUUUUUUCUAGAAUCACCUGUAACUUUAUUCGAACUCAAAAAAUAUUUCAAGUAUAGUGCUUCGGAUCAUAGACACAAGAAAUUACAAAGUAACCCCUAUGACUACGAAUUACAAUGAAAUAUCUCGGAAACAUAUUCUCAAUGAUAUCAAUCUUUGCAACACGAAAUACUAUCCAUACUUCAGCAAAUGUCUUCAAUUAGACUGGAACGGCAACAUCGCCACUUGUACCAUGUACGAACUUGACUAUGAACAAAGGUUUCAAAAAGCCUCUUGAGUCGCUCAUCUAAAAAGAUGUGAAACCGUAAGCGUUGAAUGUAAUUGGGCCAGGGAUGAUCCCCUAAAGGUGCAUGUCGUUGAACCAUAAGAUCUUUACCAGAACCCUAGAGAAUGACUCCAAGCCACAAAGGAUCAGACCAACAAAAGCACCAUGACACACUGACAAGCACUCAUCAAAUCGAUAAGAACAAAUCUGCAAGGACAUAAACUCAAAAUCCGCAAGAUCGGUGACGAGGGAAUGACCCUUCGAGUCCUCAACCUUCAUAUACCUGAUACAGCCCAACAGGGGGUCCACUCGAAGGCCCAUCAAGUAUAUGCAGGUCGACUCCCUCGAGGAACGUAAUCUUGCUAUACCAGAAUGUACUGAUCUGAUUGUAACCUUUCGAUUAUCACGCCCGAGACCUAGCCGCCAGUAUAUAAGGCUAGGAGGGGGGAUCGGGAAUUGGCAUCCUCUACACACACGCCAGAUCUCAUCUGCGCACCAUAGCUUCAGAGCUUCCUUGUAACCUUGAUCAAUACAAUACACCAAAGCAGGACGUAGGGGUGUUACCUCCUCGAGGGCCCCGAACCUGGGUAAACCUUGUGUCCCCCCGUGUCCUUGUUAGUCGACAAGGUUGCUGGUGCAUCCCGUGAUCUCCUUAGUCGAAAACCCUCGAGUUUGGGUAUUUCCGAAGUGAAACUUCGUCAAUCGGACACACUGAAUCUACGGUGAGUAAAACUCUCUGGCCACGUGGCACUGCCUGAUAAGGUACUGCUAUAGCAGAGGAGGAAUCAUAGUAAAUUUAUUCUCAACGACAUCGCACCCUCCGUCUUAGCGUUGCCGAUGAAGACCACAUGACUCGUUAUACUAAAUAGUAAAUACUCUUGAAACGUUUAGUAGAACCCGUGGUUUCUCCCACCUCGCAGCGUCAAUAUGGAAACAAAGAUAACCGACGAAUCCUAAUGAUAGCGUUGUGCUCUAUCUCGAGACCCUAGUUUUCUCUCUGUAGCGGCAGCGGCGAGAGCGAGAUACAUAUCAGGUUGUGGGCUAUCGAUGCCCGUCCCCUCCUCCUAGCUGAAUCGGCAUUGGAGGUCAGAAGAACCGGUAGUUGCACACGGUGGUGUUUUAUUGUAGUCCAAACAUAUAAUGCCACACUCUCACAAAGAUAUAAUGGCACACAUCAUUAUGGGCCAAAUCCGGUGUACAAUUAGAGCCCAUUGAGGUUUUCAAGUCUUAUUUGCUUUUCCAGAACCAUGCAUGAAAAAAGGGUUUCAUAAAACGUUGCAUAUGGGGCACCGGGGUCAUUUUAUGAAACCCUCUUGUGAUCAGAGGUAUAUGAAUUUUCAUAGAAUACGUAUAAGUGAUUAGAUGUUCUAUCCUUCAUGUGAUCUGUUAAUUUUAAGUCUAAUGAUUAGGAUUAAAAAAUCAUUUAGUAGAGGUUUUCACGUCUAAUUCAUUUCUCUAAGAGGUAAACACGGACCACACGAAACCUCCUCCCGAAACUCCUCUCCCUAGAUCGCCACCCCCUCCCUCGCCGCCGAGCAAAGCCCGGGCAGCGACGGUGAUGGGGGGAGGGGGGGGCUAUCUCUGCUUUUUCUAACUUCUAAGUGCUGGGGAUUGGCGAGGCCGGCCAGAUCCGUCAUCUGCAGGGUUCAUCUAUGCUCCUUCGUCUGCCUGUUGUUGCUCCGAGAUGCCCUCAUGGUGGCGUUGUCGCGGAGGCGGCGCGGGCUGGACCUGGGGCCGGCGGGCAUGCCCUCGGCCCUGGAGGCGCGCGGGUCUGGCACGAGAGGCAGCUGACGAAGGGGUGACUUCAACAAUGUCCAAAUUGGUGAACUUGUAUUUAGGAAAGUUUUGAGUGUAUGUGUUGGCGAUCUCGUCGGCUAACAAGGAGAUAGGGGACACGAUUUACCCAGGUUCGGGGCCCUCGGAAGGUAAUACCCCUACGUCCUACUUGUCUAGAUUGUAUUGAUGAGUCGAUUACAAGGGAACCACGGGGGCUAGAUGCACAUAUUCGAUUUGGCGAGUACGUCUAGGCGGCUUCUAUGCUAGAUUGGUUGAUCUUAGCCCCCCCCCCUCCUGGUCCUUUAUAUAUGUAGGACCCCAGGUCUCAGGUAGAGUCCAAGUCGAAUACGAUGAAGAGAUAUACUCUAAUUAAGCUUCCUUAUCUUUGGUCGCAAUAUUAGGCAUAUGGACUUCUAGAGUCGUAGUAGGCUUUCUUGUGGGCCCCAGCUGGGCCGUGAUAGGCAUACUCGAGUCGAGUACGUGGUUAGUCAUAACCAAGUCAGCAGCAUUGCUGGGGGCGAUCAUGUCCCUGGCGACCGAAGGGUCGUUGGCCUGGGUGCGUUCCUCUCCGCGACGGGCGCGUUCUUCACGGCGGUCGUCUGGAUCUGUGACCUCAUGCCCGGAUCCGGCGCUUGGAAGCAUCCAGAGUUCGGUGGCUGAUGAUGGCGGCGCUCGCAGGUGUCGUUACCUUUUCGAAGGGGUCAUCGCAUCGACUCUCUCGCCUCCCGUCUAGCUGUUUCGGGGGGAACCCUAGAUCUGGGUCUCCUAGGUCGGAUGAUGGCGACAUUUUCGGUGUCGCUUUCCCUCUUGGGGGCAUCAUUUUGGAACAAGUGCUUCCUACUAGGGUUUGGUCCUGCUCGUCGAUGCCAGGUCUGUCAAUUUGCUUUGCUUCGAUCCUUGUCCCGAAGAUGGGUUGGUGGAAAACGGUGGCGACUUAUUCUGAAGCGUGAGCAGCGGCACACGCUAAGGAUUUGUUUGACCGGUUGUGUCCAGUGUGGCCUCUGGAUUUCGAUGUUUGGCGGUGAUGUGCGGUCAAGGCAUACGGCCAGAUAAUGGCCACCCCAUUCGUCAGGCUUGUAUGGAUAGAUGGUGGCUUUGGGUUGUUGGAUCGGUGUAUUCAUUUUGCCAGACUUGUUAAUAAAUCAAUAAAAUAUGGAUGUGUGCAUCAUUUUGAUGCAUGGCCGGAAUUUCAACUUCCUUUUUGAAAAAUGAAGAAAAAAAGUUCCAAUUCAUUUCUACUCCGUCCUGUCUGGUGCGAACUUAAGUUCCACCCACCCUGUCCGCACAAGAAAACUACGCUGGGCGCGGGCUCCCUGCUGUCGUGUCACAUGCUCCGUGUACUGUUGCAUGUGACGUAAGUAUGAAAUGCGAUCUUCGUGGCAAUUGGCAACUGUGCUACUGCUACCGCAGCCUCGCAUACCUGUGCAUAUCAUUCGUGCAAACAGUCGUGCUCUUGUUCCGUUCCUUUAAUUGCAGGUAGAAAAUCGGACCAUACAUUACUGGCUGCAUAUGGCUUAACCAUCUGCUAGAUUACCACGAUCAGCACACACUCGUACGUUACGGAGUACGUAUGAUUACCAAUAUAUGUGAUUCCACCGGUUUUCACUGAUCAUACAUGUGCCAUCCACCGGUUUUCACUGCAUAAGCGGCGAAUUUCUUACUUUAACCUGCCCGUCACGAUCACGCAUCCAACGGAACCGAGCAGUGUGCAGUGCGUGUACGUGCACAUAAAGCACUGCCACCAACCAUGGCCCGUGGACGGCCAUAACAGUGUGCUCCAUGUACAACACACAACUACACGGAAUAAUAAACUUCCCAGCACAGCCAGGCAAUCAGUCGCACGUAGUGACGUAGACGUACGUACACUUCGCUGCAGGUCUGACGUACGUACACUCCGCCUUUUCGCAGCAGCGAGCGAGAACCGAUCGGAAACACAGCGCAGUGUCCGUACCCCCGGCCGGCGCGGGCUUUACCGAGACGUGCACGCGCGUCCCAUCCUUCCGCGCCUGGUCUGCCGCUGCCGGCCUGACGCUCGUCCAUCAUCGGGAGCUGUGCUGUGCUGGGCACGCCGUGCCGUGCCAUGCCGGACUGCCGGCUGCUAGGAGUGUCAUGUCAUGCAUGUGACGUGUGGUUACCUCGCUGGUCCCUGCAGGCCGGUGUACUCCGAAGGAGACGAAAGAGAGCUACCAUGACUCGCACACUCACGCCAAAGCUACCACAGCGGCAGCCGACGGUCGUCACUCAACUCACAUCACAAGGUUUCGAGUCAAACUGUACUAGCAGUAGUACGUGUUUUGUUUACUCUGCGAGUAAAUUCUUGGAUACAUCGCCUCGUUUUUACGGUUCCCAAUAACCGUACUAGCACUAUGGUUAAGAAAAUGUCAUGUGCAUUUCACUGGCACGCACAUGCGCCAACGUGACUGUACAGGGGAUUCAGGAUCAGGAUGAAUGAGUGAAGCCAUAAAACAGAUGGACGCAAAAGGGAUCAGCGAAUUCACAAGUUUCUCUUUUUGAUCUUUUCCAAUUCAAGGCAUAGGCGCCGUCACGACUCACGAGCACAUAAAAUUAUCCAAAAACAGUUCAAUUUCCACGGUAACCGGGAAACGAUUCCCCAACUAGAGCUGAAUUACAAAUGCAGGAGCCAGGAGUCAACUAUAGCUUAAUCCAUGGCACAUUUCACACCUUUCACUUCAGGAGCAGCUUCUUGAGGCCGAGGACAUAGAUGAGCAAGAAAGGACGAGAAAUUUCAGGGGGGUACAAUUCAAGGAGGAGAUGGAUGGUUGACUUGAUCUCGCAGCUGCAAACCGAUAUUGGAGCUAACUCGUCGCCAUCGUGCCCGAUGCGGACAAUGCGGCCAUCGUCGACAUGUUGCCGUUCGUCCCGUUGUUGCCGGCCGCGCGGUUGUGGUGCGCGGACAUGAUGGUCUUGCUGGACGCGGAGCUCGUCGGCCUCAGCGCCCUCAUGGGGCUCGCGAGCGCCCACGCCCAGCUCCGGUGGCUCCGCGCACCAGGAACCCUCGAGCCGCCGCCGGAGCCGGAGCCGGAGCCACCGUUGGCCGCGGAGAGCCAGUAGGAGGAUGACGCCGGGGGCGCAGCGCCGCCGAAGAACCCGGCGCACUUGAUCCUGUGCUGCCGCGCGUACUCGUCGUAGUCUUCGUCGCCGUCGCCGGCGCCGGCGCCGCCCAGGUGGUGGCCGAGCGCUCCCUUGGGCUUGGGCUCGCGGUGGGACUCGACGCGGCGGAGCGCGCAGUCGCCGAAGCCGGUGGAGAGGCGCUCCAGAAAGUCCCCCGAGAAGCUGCGGCUGCCGCACCCCACGGAGCGCGACCGGGCCACCUUCCUCCCGAACGACGACGAAGAGCCCGAGCCCUCGCUGCGGCGGCUCGGGCUCUGGUCGGCCGGCUCCUCUAUCGCCUCCAGCCUCCGCCCCAGCGACGCCGACGCUGCCGACGCCACCGACACCGACUUCCUCCUCGCGGACGAUGGCGCGCCCUGUUCCCCACUGGCCAGAGAUGACGACGCGCUCCGGUGGCUGCUGGAAGACGAGGAGUAGAGGAAGGACCAGAAGCUCUUCUUGCGUGGGCUGUCAGCGUUGAUAGAAGACGGAUUGGAUGCGAGCGGCGGUUCCUCUGGCCGCGGCGCCACGGACUUGCUCCUCCUGAGCCCGCUGGCAGCCGACGCGGCCUUGUGCAACGGGAUCGGCAUGCCAGAGGUCGCAGAAGCUUGGAGAGGCACCGGCGGCUCAGAGGACGGCGGGGUGACGGAGGAAGGCGGCGGAUGGAAGGGGCUGGACUUGGACGAGGAGACCAGCAUGCCGAGCUUCUCCUGCAGGCAGAAGGCGCAGAUGCCACUCCCGCCGAGAGCAACCCCUGCGGCCGCGGCCGCGCCGGGCGGGUAGGGGUGCUCGCUGCAGUACGCCACGUCUUGAUCCCCCGCGACGGCGCCUGCAACCGCUGCCACAGGCGCCGCCGCCGCAGUCUCCGCCGCUUUCUCCUCCAUUCUCGAUCUUGGUCUUCUUGGUACCUGGACACGAGCAGAUGAGCUACUCGAGUUGUCGAUCUCGAUCUGCCGCCGUUGCCGCUGCUGCUUUGUGGGCGAACGUGGAGGCGCGCGGAAGGGGGAGGAGAGGCGGAUCGGGAGCUUGGGGAAUGGAGGGCACGGGCGCGCAAGCGGAUGCGGUGGCAGGGGAGAGCAUCAGAGGAGGCAGAGGCGGCGUGGUGGGAUGCCCUGCUCCGUCCUGACUGCCGCGCCUUAUUUUAGCGCACUCCCGCCCGCCUGUUUCUUUUUGUCCGGCUCGUGCGGCUCGGAGGCCGCGGUCAGGAGAGCACGUGGGGGUGUGGUAGUGCACUGGCAACUGGUGUUGCAUCUCUGCGCGGGUGGCUCCACGCUCCAGGCCACGCUGCCUCGCUCAGCGCACCCACCACGAUCCGUCCACUCCAGCCGUAACGGAUCUUUACGCGGUCGCAAAAUUACGGUGUUUUUCUUUUCGGGGUGAUCCAAAUUACGGUGAUACCGGUGCCAAUGGAUGUCCGCACGUGUAAUGCACGUGUCAUGCCCCUACCCACACCACAUGAACAGAUUUUUCUUUUCUUAUAACAAACUAAUGUACUGCAGCAGAGCAAUUUUUCUUUGUAGAAAAACGACGUUGGAUCUCCGGAGACAAUUCAACAGGGUGAGACAAUGUUUGACGAUGAAAUUCGCUCGAAGCUUCAUACAUGAGUUCGAACUUUUUUUGGGGUUCCGGGAAAUUUUGCUAGGUUUUGAAAUUAUCCACGAAGCCGGUGAGAGUAGCUUUUCGGGAAAUCCCGUCCUAAAAGUCGUAAAGAGGAGGAUUUGUAUAAAAUUCUAUAUAUGUAUUCUAUACAAAUAUAACAAUGGAAGCCUAGUAAAUUGUUUAACAAGUUAGAUUGGACCGAUGUUUGAGAAUCGUGAGUUGAUUUGCCACGAAACUGAUUUUGUGGCAUUGUAAAUGACCUCUUUAAUUCAUUGGAUCUCCAUAUCGUGAGAACCGACGGAAUAUCCGUUGUUUUCUACAAUAAUUGAAAACACAAAUAUGGAACAGAAAUAUCUUGGUGGUUUUGAAGGGAGAAAUCGAUUUUUCUUUAUGGAUUAGAUGUAUCUUAGUUUAUGUGGACACGGAGAAAAAGGAAUGGAUUAAAAUUAGUAAAAUAAAUUCUUUGACGUUGAGUGUUAAAUUGAUUCAUACAAAAAGUAUAAAGCAUUCUAAUCCUACAAAUGAGGGGCCUCUUCUCAUGGAGAUUGCAAUGCGUGUACAUGCAAAGCAAAGGAUUGGGAAACACAUACUCCAUUAACUUAACUUUCUGAAUUGCAGAACAAUUGUUUGAACACAUCACGUGCUUUUGAUUUCUGUAGAUUCAACAUGCCAUAACAUCCUAUUCAUGCAAUCUUGCAAAUAGAAGAGGCCCUCGGUGGAUUAAAUUUCCUGCAUAUUUCAUUUGGAACAGGUACCCUUUGCAGCAAUCCGCUGAAUCAAAAUGCGCUACAUUAACCAAAUUCAUUGGGAAUUGAACCCCCAGCCCCCAUGUUUCCUUUGUUUACCUCUGAAUCAAAGAGGUCCUAAACAAACUCUAUAGAAAAUAAAUUCCAAUAAUUGAUAUCUUUCAAAAUUCAUUUGGAUUAUUAUGACUCGAAGAUGCCUUCAAAUACUGAAUUUGUCUACUCUUUGAUUCGCGAGAUUCUGAAAACAUAUGAACACUACAUGAAUGUAUUUGCAAAAUUUAUGGCAAGAAGAAAAUGCAUGUGCCAAACAAAGAACAUACAUUUUGAAGACUUUAGGUGUUUUAUUCACGUGAAUAGAAAAAACACAAAAUUAAGUCUCAAUAAAUAUAGAUGAAUUAAAAUCAAGCCACAGGAAAAGUAGGAUUAGGGCGUUGGUGUGCUACUAGAAACCCUUUUCUCAUUUUUCCUGCGCAUGAACUCUUAAAAAGUUCCCAUUGACUUGCAAAAUUCUUGCGGUUUUUCCGUUGAAAUUUCCUAACGUCUCUCUGUUUUGCAUUGCUCUCAGUGAGACACAUGAAUACCAGGGACUGAUGAAUACCGCCACUUCACAAUUUUUUUGUGUCCUUUUUCUACGGAUCAAAGAGGCCGUAAAACGUCGCUGUUGUUGUACUGGCAUGCUUCCAUUUUUUAGUGCAACAAAUGUGGCCGGCCGGGUUUCCGCCGUUCCAAGAGGAAAGAGCUAGCUGCUGGCCUGCCACCGUAGAUCUAGGAGAUAAUAUUUGGGCCGUUGGCCGUUCCAUGCUGUUUGCACGGAUCAGGGGCAUGAUUCCUGGUUAAACAUCAACUCGAUCCAUAGCUGGUUGGUAUAGCCAAGAGUCUAUCGGCAUCAGCCGAUGCACUUGCAUUUGCCAGCAUGAGCCUGCAGCUAGUGAAUUUUUUUUCGAGGAUGCAGCUAGUGAUUUUGACUCGCCACAAUAUUGUUUUUUGCCGCACACAUAAAAAUCUCAAGUUUAAGUACGCUUGAUCUCCACUAUAGAGGAGCUACAUAGCAACAGGGUAGGUACGUGUAGGAGUAAGUUGCCACGAUCCCAUGAGGGCGACAGAUCAGAGGCUUCCUCUGUCGGUAGAAACGCCUCUUGCUAUCUUUGGUCAAACAUACGCAACUAAAUAAUCUUGGCUAGUUUUAUCUCUUGAUAGCCAUCCCAGGGUGGCAGGCAUGGCAGAUCCAUCGACCAAUCUGAUGUGUGUGGUACUACUGGCAGCAAUCGCAAGUGGUAACAUGUCCAGUCUUGGCUACCUCAACAAGCUGAUGGAUGGAUGGAUGGACGAUGGAUCAUCGGAGGAGCGAGUAAGUAAUUUCCGGUCGGCAGGUUGCAAUGCCAUGGACGUGGCGCGCACAUGCUUGGUUCCAUCAAAUCAAAGGCAUCUGUACUGUACCUUGUGCUAUAUAAGUAUAUAACCUCACCGGCGUUUUAUAGAGACGGUGCUAACACGCGGAGCAGAGUAGUAUAUGUACAAAGCUCUGGACCGGCCCAUGGCUCCAUGUACAUCGGGGGAAGGGACCACUUCAUAUGGAGUUUGUCGUUCGUACAGAGCCCGCUCCUUCUCGCCACUAUCCGCUGCCGGCCUGCCGCGGCAACACUUGCACAUACGUGCGGUACGUGCCGGCAGCCAUUAUGCUCUCUAGGCUUUUUGUGCGCACGCACGCACGCCGGAUCCUGCGUCCGGCCACGCACCCUUCCCGGUGCAACCUUUCUUUUGGAUCUUGGCAGUGAUCUUGCAUUCCUGGCUCCGUUUCAGGUGACAUCGGCAUAAAAGUAAGCAGAGAGAGGUCAGACGACCAUUUUGAAUUCAAUUCAAUUCGAUGGUCUGACAUGGUUAAGGGGUAAUAAUAUCUCUCUCUGCUACAGGAGAAGAUUAAUGAUGAUGAUGGUGAUGGCUAAUCACGUGCGCACGUUUGAGCACGAGUAGUGCUGGUUUGAAGCCGGCUCAAGAAAAAUUAUCUUAGAUUGGAACUAUUGGUUGCACUUACAGUUUUCUACGACAAAUUAUAUCUGCUCCCAUCAUUUAAUCAUUUAGGUCUGAAAUAUAAGAAUUCAUGUUAGAUUCCAGAAACCUAUAUCUAGCCGCCAAUUCCUAAAAUGCAUCGUUUCUCUGGAUCAUCUGUCUUCUACAUAUUCAUGUGACAGACAAAAAAUAAUUUACGUAUCCGCAAUUCAAAUUCAUCCAAAUGAAAUUUGAUUUCGUUUCAUUUCUACCAAAUACGAUGAGUGCUACCAAACAAGCGGUUAGUGUAAUCAAGUCAAAGUUAAGUCUAAAAUUUCAUGAAGAACUACAAAAACAAUCAAGAGCAUUGACACGAGGCACAUCUAUCAUCUAGAAACAUUUAUAUUUUUACACAUCAAGGCAAAACAGAAAAAGAAAAGAAGCAAUGGUUAAUUUGUAGUGUGGACAUUUUCUUGUGUCCACAAAAACAAACAUGAGAUGAAUAGACAUAUGAGUAAAUAAUUUGAGAUUAGAGUCUUCCCCGAUGAAACGAUGGACGGAAGUCUUGGUGUCGUGGACUUGAGGUUGGGUUUUGGGGUGUCGAGCAACUAUAGCGAAACGGUAUGUAAGACCGCGAGGCCAAUGCUUCGUUUAUUCGCCAUUGAUAGUUAAAGACCGGGCUAGGCUAGUCACUUAUUAUGAUUGAGUUUUUGCGGCACCCCCUCACUUGCUUUGAUCCUGGCCUCUUGGGUUGUUCGAUUAUCGGGUUUUUUAGAAACACGGUACAAACGCAGACGUUCACAACAUGCCCGUACACUCAUCCCUAUGAACGCACGCACGCACACCCUACCCAUAUGAGCACCUCCGAAAGACUGAGCAGGCAGAUAUUAAGAGACUGGCGAAGUCAUCGCAGGCGCCUCGCUGUUGACGGGUACGUCACCUACCACUGAAAAUGUGACACCCAUAUCAAGUCUAGGACUUGAACCUGGGUUGGCCGGUUCCAUCACAUGGAACGAUACCACCUGAGCUAGGCUCAGUUCACGGGUUGUUUGGUUAUCUUCCUGUGAGGGAUUCAGAGGUCUCGUUUUGUUUGUUGCUCUUGCAUCGUGAGCUCUCGUGAGCUUUGGUGUGCCUGCUCACGAGCACUUGUGGCGCUUCAACCUCGGUCAUAUGUUCAUGCAUUGUGCUACGUCAAGGUUGGCUAGGGAUCCGUUGUGGUUGUUAGUAGCAAGGAAGGUUUUGUUUUUCUUUCCUUCUAUAAACGUUUGUAAAUGUUGGUAGUUCACAUCAUCUUGUAUGAUUAAUAUUAUGUUCAUUGAAUAUAGAUUUUCUCCUAAUAAGCCCUAAUUUCAAAUAUGUUUUCAUUUCGGUGUAUCUAGCAGCUCCGUGAAUUUGAAUUUCCAGACACAAUUAAUCUUAUCUUGGCUACGUUCUUUUUGACUUCUGGGUCUAGCUUCUCAAGGUCGGAUAGAUUUCCUAGAGAAGUCUCCCCAGCUUCCUAGAGAAGCCGGCCACCAAAUCUGGAUAGAUUUCCUGUGGAAGCUAAAAUAUCUUGAAAACUUGACCGAGGUUCGGAUUCUCUAAAAAGCCGGAGGAAGACAAUUUUCUAGACAAGCCUCGAAAAUAACCGGGCCAAGAUCUUCUGUUUUGGUGGGCAAGGAUUGGAUCUGAAGUAUUUUGCAUUUCAAUAUUUUUUUUCCUAAUGAUAUGGAUUCCCUCUAUACGCGGAUGUAAAUGCACUAGGAUUUCCUCCAUAUUCUUAAGCAUCUAGUACCACCGUAUCAGAGGCAUUUUCCCACAAUUCUAACUAACUAUAAUUGCUUAUUUUAAUGUGCAACUCUUCGGGAGAAGGUGCAGGUGUAUCUGUUUUUCUUACCUGCUAAGAAGUCAUCAUUGUUGCCGCUAGAGAAGAAUGCAAAUCUUAGAAACAAGAUCUGACAUGCUAUCUAACACUUCGCCAUUAACUUUUCUAGUUGUUUCAGUGAUAAUAGAGAGAGUACAAGAUACAAUAUCACUCCCUCUGUUUCUUAAUGUCUAUACAUUUUGUAGUUCUCCUGAUUUCAACUUUAUGAAUUUUAUCUGAGCUUGUAAAAAGUGUAACACCAAAUAACUAUAAGAUAAAAUACAUUUUGUAGGUCUGACAUGCUAUCUAACACCAAGUAUACGGGGUACCAAUGAUGGUACAAUGCGUAAACUAAGACAUAUACGACGGCCUUGUAAUGAAAGUCAUCGUAUAUUUGGACAAACUUGACAUGUCGAUGUUUUUUGCAUAUGUUUGGUUGAACCUGCGGCUGCGACUUAAUCUUAUGUAAGGAAAGGCUUCGCAGGGGCCGUUAGCUGAAGUGCUUGGAUCGUGGGUCUAUCCAAUCCACUUAGCGAGAGUUCCGCCGGAGCCAUAUCGGAUUUGGACUGACGUGGUUCUUCCAAGUAGCGAGUCUAUGAUACCUUUCGAAAAAUAA